UCAUCCUCCGAUCCAUCCAUCUCUCGCCCAUAUCUAGUCUAGAUACUAAUAGCUUAGAAGCUAGCCCCACAUCUCGGUCGAUCAUAUCUCAACAAUGGCUUCUCGUGCCGCCACGCUGAAGAUGGCCACUGCAACUGCCCUUGUCCUGCUGGUCCUGCUAUGCAUGGCGACCUCACCUGUGACUGCCUGUACCACCACCUGUCAAUUCGCCUGUGGUACCUUUGCUAUACAAGUCUGCGGUACUUGUUCCACUACCACGACAUGCAUCACUGAGGCUGAAAAGGUGUGUAUCAAGACCUGCACCGAAACCUGGUGCGGUAAGGUAUUCCUGCCAUGCCUCUAAGAAUAUGCAUGCAUGGAUUCGGAUCGGAUGGCUUAAUCGAUCUAUUCCGACUUUCUCGCUAGCGCAUGGUUGUUGUUGCAGAGAAUAAAGGUGAGUGCAUGCAAGGAGGCAGCCCUCUCCCCGUGUGGUAUGUGGGGGAGGGCUUGCAUGCAUGCUUGAUGAUCCACGUUACAUUUUCCAUUUAUAUUCUAGUUAUAUUAUCUUAUUAUCAUCGCAUAUUUCUGCCGCGGGCAUGAUGCAUGGUGCGUACAAUAAGACGACGUCCUACUAGCGUAGGAGUAUUGUAAACCUCUCUCCAUGCAUGUAUAAAUGGAAGGAGGAUUAAUAAUUAAUAUAGUGCGUGCCCAUCUUAUGCCGUUGUGCAUGUCAACAUGUAAUUCCUCUCAGGUUCUACCAGGGGCUUGAGGGAUAUAUACGAUCAUGGUAUUAUCAUUAUAUGUAAUUUAUGAACUUCCCUAUUAUGAUGAUAUAAUAUUGUCCAGAUUAACAAGGCAGCUAGCUUCGUGCCUUGAACUAAUACUGCAUGCGACAAUUCGCUAUAUAUAUAUUCACGAAUUAAAUCUUCUCUCAAGUCACCGGUGCCAAAUCAACAAACUCCACUCUGUGUGUUGGAAUAUAUAGAUAGACAAGUGAAAGACAAGGAUCCUUUAAUAAUUAAAAAGCACCCAAAAGUGUUGGCCAGCCGCCGGUCAAAAAUAAACUUACCAUCUAUAACUAUAAGAUUGACUGAGGGAUGGUUCUUGAUGCUAUGUAUUGAUUGAUUUGGUUUUGGCAUGCUUACUUGAAACACAAACUAUACUAUAUCAUUCUUCCAUUAUCUAGGAAUCAGGUGGGGGAAAGAAUCACUGCACAUUGUAUUCUGCUUCAGUGCUAGAUCAUGAUAUUGUAGCUUGUUUUCAUGCACUCAAUGAUAUAAGAUUGGAGCUAAGAAACACAGCGAAACCCCCUAUUGAUCGAUGAUCAUCAACAUCUUUUGUCCAAUCAGUAUCCGAGAAAGCACUUAUAAAAUUUGAAUAUGACUUUCUAACUUUGAGUCCAAGCUUCAGUGUCCCAUGUACGUACCACAGUAUAAAAAGUUGGUGGCUGAUAACCAUCUUCGCUUGCAUUGGUAUCUGUUGGUGGAACUACGUUUGGCUGUGGCAGCAACCAUAACAGGAGACACGAUAGAUUAUUGAAACUACAGUCUAACCAGUCAUACUUAGCCUUCAAAAUGAGUAGCUCAAGCACAAAACUUUACAUUGUCUAGUUCAACACUACUGUACAAAAUCACCUUCCUUGCUUUUUAACCAUUUCUAAAUUUUCUAGACCUUUGAUGCUCUUUAGUAUAAUCUCUGUUCCAAUGGCCUAAAGCAUUUCCUCCAAAACAAUCACUAUCAUCUUUGUCCAUGACACAUCCUCCACCAUCAUUAUUGGCACCAUCUUCGUCGUUUCCAUCCCAACCACCAGCAUCACAACUUUGUUCAUGGCCAUCAUCCAUUUAUGCAUCAAGCACUACUACAUAUCGGUCUUGGUAAUCUAGGCACAUUCGUUGGCUUCUUUAUUAGGAUAAAUGUUAUCAAUUGUUUCACUAUGAUAAGUCCACACGGUGUAGUCCUUAACAAAUCCUUGCAUAAUCAAGUGUGAUAUGAUGAUAGUCACAUCUUUCCAUGUGAGAUGGUUCUUGCAAUCGCUACAUGGACAAAUAAUUUCAGUAUUAUUGUAGGUAAACAUUACAUGCUUCUAUGCGGCUUCAAGAAAUUUAUCCACUUCAAUACGGAACUUGGCUCCCUCCUUUUUGUACCAUACAUCUAGGAGUUCUGGUAGUCUAUCUUUUAGGACAACAAUCAAAGAAAACCGUGCCCUGCGCGUGCUAGACCCGGAUGGUAGACAAUUCGACACUCGGUUUGUACUGGUUUGGGCCCUCGGAUGGGUCCUACAACUAGUGGGAAGUUCAGCUAGUAUUGCUCUUGCCAAUAGGGCUUGCAGUAGGGGUUAAAAGUUGUUUGAGAGAGGAAGGAGGUUCCCAAGUCUCUGGUGUAAGAGUUGGUGUGUAUCGUUGUAAUUAUGGGUGGUGCACUCGAGUGUUUGUGUCACCAUUGUUCCAUUUUGUGCUUAGCCCCAAGCCCUUUUAUAGAUCAAGGCUGGGGGUGUACAUGUGUUGGGAGUGACCAGAACUAAAUAAGUCUUCAGGGUACAGCUCCUUCCUUUAGUUUUGAACGAACAAGAGGCAAGAUACGCUUGUUAAGCUUCAGACAUAUAGUUUAGUAGGAUAGCAAGUUUUAGACAACAGCAUUCAGUUUUCAGCAAGAUUCUAAACUAAAAUACGUAGAUUAUGCAUCAUGAGUGGUGAAGAAAAAACUAAACUUACAUCAGGCUAACUAUCCAGUGCUCAUCUACUAUUCAAACAUAGUGCUGGUAGAACCAGAGUUAGAUAAUCACCUUGAAUUGACUCAAAAUUAUCAUGGGAUACAAUUUACAAAUGCAUGUUGCAAGAAAAAAAUCUCCAUAUUUUAUUGGUGAAACUGAAUACUUUGAUAUUCAAAGAACCCAGAACCCCUGUUUAUGGUUUUUUUAAGUUUCUUUAUAUAGAGGAUAUAAAUAUUUUACAAUUAACAUUUAACCGCAUGUGGGUCGAACCAGUCAGUUAGGACACAUUUAACUUAGACAUGGGUCCCGCCAGUCCAUCUAGGACGUGGCUGUGGCAAGGUGAUUUUUUAAAAAAAUAUGUUUUUCAAUAAUGAUGAUCAUAUUCAAUCACUUUCAUCAUGAGCUAUUGUCACAAAGAUUGGGAAGGGUGAAUGGUGACGGUUGUUUAUGACUAAAGCACAUCUUGGUCACAAACGCUUGUCAUCCAUUGAGAACUUGUCGUAAACACGUCGUUUCUAUGACUAAAAAGUGCUUUACAUAUGAAAAUUGUCAUAGAAGGCCCAAUCUCUUGUAGUAUAGUUAUAAAAAAGAGGAAUUAAAAUAUUUGAUGCACAUGCUAGAUGCAGUUAACCAAAAAUGAAUUGGUUAGUAAAGGAAAAUAGCAUGACACAAUGAACAUUGUUUGUGAAUAGGUGAAAGGGCGAGGUUAGAUCCAUAAAAGCGCUACAAUGGAUUAUAUUUUAGCAAUUAAAGCCUUCUAGGGGUUAUUCAAAAGGUGUACAAGAGCAUCUCCGAUAGUUUUAAAAAAUAAUUCAUAAUUCAGUUAGUUUACCAAGUGUCUAAAAAAGUUGGGAGCACAUUUGUUGGGUUUGUCCAAUAGUUUUUGAAAUCUGCACCUAAAAUAUAGGGAGAAAUUUUGCGCCUAGAACCCCAUACUAUUUGCAAUCACCCUAACCACCAUUAUACUUUUCUUUAUAUUUUGUAUAUUUGCAUUGAGAACCCUAUCCUACUCUUUAUUGUUCUCUACGUCCUUCCACUUCUAGAUUGGUAGUUGUUUACCAAGUGCAGAAAGAUUACCAAGUGCAGAAAGAUUAAGAGUUGAGUUAGGUAGUUGUUGGAGAGUGGUAUUUUCAAUGCCAAGAAAUAAGAUUGGGAGUGGCUUUUGAAAACUCUUAGAGAUGCUCUAACACACAUAGAUUAUAUUGGGCAUAAUAGUAUUCUCCAAUAUAUUUUCUAUAAAAGCCUAAGAAAACAUCCAUGGUGGACGGUCGCACACCCAUGCCGAACGUGGAUUCACCAGGACAUGCGCCUAGGCUAGCCAUGGACUCGUCGAACACUGCUGCUCACCUUGCGCCGCCGCUUGCUGCAUGCCACUACAUACCAUGAGCCACCACUCAUCGCUGCUCACUGUGCUCCUGCAAAGGGAUGUUAUGGUGGAUUCAUAUAUGUGUAGGGGUGAGGAGUGGAAAGAAGUGAUGUUUUCACGGUUCCAUCCUCUAUAGUAGAAAAAUGGCUUUGACACCCCUAGACUUCUACACCAAAGUCGCUUCUUCCUUGGCGGCUUCGUAGGGUUUUAGCUAUGAAAAACUUCUGUCAAACGAGGUCAUAUGUUUGUUCUCUUAUACCCAUCGCUCCAGUUCUUGCUCUCUCGCUUCCCCACAAAUCCACAAUUAUCGUAGCACCACUAUCUUCCUUCUCCCCAUGGUCGUCCCACUCAGUCCUAUCGUGGCCCUCAAUGAGGCUUAGAUUAUGGAUUGUGCCAACCUGACAAGGCCUCACCAGCUACUAGUCAUAAUCAUAGUAAGCCAAUGGAUAAACUAGGGAGUUGAAUCUAAGGUAAUUCUAUAACUAUGCCAAUGAAUAACUCUAAUUAGUGCAAUUACAUCUAGAAAUCAUCGUUAAGUCAACCCUAUAUCAUAAUUAGAUGUAAAGAGGCAUCAAUUAAUGAGGGUAUUAAGACACAUGGGUCACCUCAUUCGCGACCGCGCCCAUGCUUGUCCUAUGUACGGAGGGUGGACUAUAGAAGAUCCAACGCAGUUGUCACCUACGCAGUCUACCACACGUCCCGCACGUCAUGGUGCACUCGUAGGCAAACAAGAUAUCUAGACACCACGUCUACAUAUUGUCUAUCAUCUACCCAACGAUCGAUUAGGUAAACGCUAUACGAGCAAUUACAUGAAUUCAAUAAGAUCAAACCAACUAUCCUAGACAUAUAAUCAAAGUAGACAAUAACUAAUGCAAUUAAGAACAUAUGAAUCUAUUAAGAAUAAAGUCUCCCUAAUAUACAAUUGAAUAUUGUAAAGUAAGAACUAGAUCUAUUACCAAACUCUUGCGCUCCAGAUCGACGCCAGGGGCUCCAGAUCUCGAUGAAGAACUAGAUCUCCUCUACUUCUAAUCUAACUAACUAGAACUAUGAACUAGAAGGCUCUUGAUGAACUUGAAGGCGCUUGAUGCUUGAUGGCUUGAGGCCUUGAUGAAUUGGUUGAUUUAGGAUUGUCUCCAGGGGGGUCUACCCUGUAUUUAUAGUCUGGUGGGAUGCGCGUGCGCUGUAGGAUCAAACCGACUUAACCAAGGGCUGAGAUGCAUCAGGAGAGGCGGUGGAGGAAGCUUCUAGAAGUGGAGGGCCAAAACCCUAAGGGGGCGCCGGCUAGCGCUAGGGUGGGGCCGGCCAGCCCCACCUGGCAGCCGCCAGGCCCCCCGCUGCUUCGGGUGCAUUCUCGAUCCUUCCUGAGUCUUCUCGCGACGUUUCCCAUAGCGGAUAUGUUUCGUGUUUAUUUUGCACUAGAGUCCCUCCUUUCAGCUUUCCUGAAAUUCAGCCUGGAAAAUACAGAAUAUACAAAACUCGUGGAAAUUGUUCGAUAAAACCCUAGACUAGUGUGUUUUAAUGUUUUCCUUCAGGUCUAAAGUUAUAAUAAAAGUUGACGUUAUUGACCAUCAACAUAUGUGUUAUUGCUGAUGAAGUUCACAUCCUCUUGCAGUGUAGGGCAACUGAUAGCUGAGUGCCCGUAGUCUCCACAUUCUUCACAUGUCAUAUGGGAAUCAUUGAUGUGCAUGACUUCCUUCUUCUCUAUGUCGAGCUUCUUCAUAAUGAGGUCUAGCUUGGUAGUGACCAUGUCAGCUUCCUUGAGAUGAUGGAUUCCUCCUCCUUUCUUUUGAGACUGGGUACGUUCUUCAUUGCAUGUUGAAUUUGAGGCCAUCUUCUCAACAAGUGCUUUAGCGUCUGAGAGCUUAAGUGAUAGGAAAGCUCCCACAGCUGCAGCAUCAAUAGACUCAUAGGUACUAGAGAUGAGCCCAUGAUAGAAAGUUUGCAUUAACAACCACUCCUCUAUCCCAUGAUGAGGAUAGUCUUCAAUGUAAUUCUAGAAUCUUUCCCAUGCUUCAGUGAAUGAUUCAUCAUGUUAUUGUUGGAAACUUGAAAUCUUCCCAUGCAGAGCAUUAGUCUUGGCUAUAGGAAAGAAUUUUGCCAGGAAAGCAGUUGAGCAAAGGUCCCAUGUAUUGUGUUUGUCUUUCUUGGUGUAGAACCACUGCUUAGCUUUUCCCAAUAAUGAGAACGGGAAAAGAUGGAGUAAGAUAGCAUCCUUUGGUACUCCUCUGAUUGUGAAGGUGCUGCAGAUCUCUAGAAAGUGUUGUAAGUGUGCACUUGCAUCUUCAUGAGCUUUUCCACAGAAUUGGCUGGCUUGAACCAUAGUGAUGAGAGUAGGCUUGAGCAUCUUCAUGUUUGCUGUUAUUGGGGAAGAGAACUCUUGCAGUGUCUCAGCCAUGUCUUCAAACACAGGAGCUAGGUUUCCACCUAACCGCUCUUCUCCUUGUUCUUCUAUUUGUUCUUCAAAUUUCUCUUCCAAUAUUCGAGAUGGCUCCUCUGAUGAGCUAGCUUGAGCGGCAGAUUGUGUUCUUGAUGGUGAUUCAAAUUUGUCCCUUGCUUCUAUAAACUUCUUCUUUCUAAGGAGUUUCUCUAGAUCUUCAGUAAAAUUUCUUGGAAGAGCAAAAUCUUUCAUUCAUCACCUUGCAUAAGAUAAGAAAAUGAUAACGACGAAAGGUGUACCUGAUUGAGUUAGAAAUUGAUUGGUAAUAUGACUUUAUCCAUACGUAUAUAUAUGUUAUCAAUAUAUCCUAAGUUUAUUGUGCCUUCCCCGGCAACGGCGCCAAAAAUGCUUGUUGACAUUUACUACCGUCGUUACUAAAAAUAGAGAUAAACCCUACCCCUAGCAACAACACUAGAAAUGCACAAUAUAUCAUUAACUUGUCAAAUAGCAACUAACCACUCUAACAUUCUUAAGCAUGAAGUAGGUUGUCAUCCCUAAUUACAUUGCUAGGAAUUUUAUAUAAAUUCACAUGUUCUACUGUAACUAGACAGAGAAUAAAAGAUAUGAAUACACUUAUAAACUAAAUUUGUUCUGUAAGCGGACAGAUAAUUAUAUUGUUGUAGCAUUUUACCUAUGGAAGUAUCCAGGUUGUCGAUUUAUAUUUAUACCACUCGGAAGUCUAAGUGUUAAACUAUAAUCUAUUAUACUGAUAAGAAACUAUAUAUAUGGAUGAAUAAAUGAUAUUACCCAAGUCAUAUAAUGUACUCAUAACAGGAAGAGGUCACAAGAUAAAUAUGGAUAAAUAAUAAUGAUAGCAUAAUCAUCAAGUAUCAUAAAUAACGAUAAUCAUCAGAGCAUCUACUAGUCAUAAUCAUAGCUAGCCAAUGGAUAAACUAGAGAGUUGGAUCUAAAGUAAUUCUAUAACUACGUCAAUGAAUAACUCUAAUUAGUGUAAUUACAUCUAGAAAUCAUCGUUAAGUCAACCCUAGAUCAUAAUUAGAUGUAAAGAGGCAUCAACUAAUGAGGGUAUUAAGACACAAGGGUCACCUCCUUCGCGACCGCGCCAUGCUAGUCCUAUAUACGGAGGGUGGACUACAGAGGAUCCAACGUAGCUGUCACCUACGUGGUCUACCACACGUCCCGACAUGUCUGGGUGCACUCGUAGAUAAACAAGAUAUCUAGACACCACGUCUACAUAUUGUCUACCAUGUACCUAACGAUCAAUUAGGUAAACGCUAUACGAGCAAUUACAUGAAUUCAAUAAGAUCAAACCAACUAUCCUAAACAUAUAAUCAAAGUAGACAAUGACUAUUACAAUUAAGAACAUAUGAAUCUAUUAAGAAUAAAGUCUAUCUAAUAUACAAUUGAAUACUAUAAAGUAAGAACUAGAUAUAUUACCAAACUCUUGCGCUCCAGACUAACGCCAGGGGCUCCAGAUCCCGAUGAAGAACUAGAUCUCCUCUACUUCUAAUCUAACUAACUUGAACUAUGAACUAGAUGGCUCUUGAUGAAAUUGGAGGCACUUGAUGCUUGAUGGCUUGAGUCCUUGAUGAAUAAUGAAUUGGCUCUCUCCAGAGGGGGUCUACCCAUGUAUUUAUAGUUCAGUGGGAUGCUCGUGCGAUGUAGGAUCAAACCGACUUAACCAAGGGUCGAGAUGCAUCAAGAGAGGCGGUGGAGGAAGCUUCCAGAAGAGAAGGGCCAAAACCCUAAGGGGGGCAUCGGCCGGUGCUAUGGUGGGGGGACGACCAGCCCCACCUGGCAGCUGCCAGGCCCCCCGUUGCUUCGGGUGCCUUCUCGAUCCUUCCUGAGUCUUCCCGCGAUGUUUCCCAUGGCGGAUAAGUUUCGUGUUUAUUUUGCACUAGAGUCCCUCUUUUCGGCUUUCCUGAAAUUCACCCUAGAAAAUACGGAAUAUACAAAACUCGUAGAAAUUGUCUGGUAAAACCCUAGACCAGUGUGUUUUCAUGUUUUCCUUCAGGUCUAAAGUUAUAAUAAAAGUUGACGUUAUCGACCGUCAACAUAGACCUCUAAGCAAGGUUCGCUAAAAGGUAGAAGAAUAAAAUUAACCCUACUAAUAAGUAACCUCAGUCAACGACAUAGUGGUAAACCAAAAACCUGUUUUAUAUUUCCAAUUAAUAAACACACAAUCUUAAUCAAUCUAGACCUCCAAAAUGGCCUCCAAUGGAUGGUGGCUGCGAGAAACAGUUCUGCUUGUGGAGCACGAAGAGGAAUUUAUACUAGAAACUUCACUGGCGGCUGGCUUAAGGAACCGCCAAUGUAAAUCCACUUACACUGGCGGUUCACUUAAGAAAACCGCUAGUGUAAAUGGUGCAUUUCUACUGGCGGUUUACUUAAACCGCAUGUACACUGGCAGCUCACUUAAGUAAACUACUAGUGCAAAUGCACCAUUUACAUUGGCGAUCUUCUUAAGUUAACCACUAGUGCAAAUUUGUUUCCACUGGCAGUUCUUGAAUCGUGCCGGCCAUUUUCUUUGCAGUGACGUGCGAUAAUUGAAACCGCCUAUAAAUUAGACACAACCGCUGCCAUAGAGCAUUUUCUGUACUAGUGAUAAUGUCACCAAACUUUUACUAUUGCUACCAUCAUAAAUCUAUCACUGGUACAAGAAAGGGCUUUAGCCCCGGGCCGUAAGGGCCUUUAGUCCUGGUUGCGGAACCGGGGCUAAGGUUUUGGGACUAAAUGUCCCACUUCUAGUCCCGGUUCCGCGGACCGGGACUAAAGGUCCACCUUUAGUCCCGGUUGGUAUCAGCAACCGGGACUAAAAGGUACGCCAGAGUGUGCCACCUAGCCUCCACUUUUAGUCCCGGUUGUUGCUACCAACCAGGACUAAAGAUUUUUUUAUUUUUUUCUUUUCUUUUCAUUUGGUUUUCCAUUUAGGGUUUACAAUUAUGUUAUUAUUAUUUUUGAAUGCGUAUUGUUUGCUGGUAGUUUAUGGAACGCGCACCUAUAAUUUAUAUAAUUUAAAGCAUUACAUAUAAAUAUACUAUAAAACACUAUAUAUAUAUAUUAUAUGUAUCUAUAGGUCCAUAAUAUAAUAUUUACACAUAUGCUUCACAGACAAAGUAUUUACCACACAAUUUAUCUCCGCCACUCAAGCAUCGUACAAAUGAUCAUCGUGAUUUGGUUUCAUUGGCUCCUGAGGGUUGAAGUAGCACUCGCCGCCGGGAUUCAGGACUUGGUCGUUAAGAAAUCCUACGAUUGUCUCUUAAAUUCCUUUUAGGCGCACCGCAUCCAACACCUACUCCUUCAACCACAUCUCCUUUAAUAGACAUUAAAGAAAAAAGUUAGAGGUAUGAAUAGGAUUUAUUAAAUAGCAACAAAUAAAUGAAAUAAACUUAUUAUAUAAACAUGUUACAUACUUUUAGGUGCUCAAGAUUAGUUCUUUUGGCAUAGACCGUCAUAAACUCGUACACAUAGUAGCCACACAAAUUGUUGCCCGGUGUCUGCCGUAGAACCCACAGAAGUUCAAAAAAGCAGAAUUUAAAAGAGCAGAAUUAUUAAUUAUCCAUUACAAAGUUUAAAGAGCAGAAUUUAAUAUAUAGAUAUCAGAGUUACCAUUGGAUAAUAUCUAUCAUUUCUUGGUAAUCGUCCUGUGGUUUUCUCAACGAGAGUCAUAGAUUACCAAUUAACAUUGCCAGAGAUCAAUGACAAUUAGUAUCCAAUGAAAGCUGCAUUUGUGUGCAUGUAGGCAAAACUAGUAUAUAUCUUUAUACUGAUCUGAUUAAUUAGUUAAAUAGAAUGUACACACGAUAACAACACUUACUUAAAGUUGUAGGGAAAGAGUAUAUAUCUUUUAUCUUUUUAAUUGAUCAAGAACCUCCGUAGAUUUCUCUCCGUUUGAGUUCUCCAUAAGACAUACGGGGUCUUCUGGUCUUUGAAUACAACAUUUCAAUCCACAAAUCCAAUCUCCUUGUCAUUUCUAACUCUGAGGUCCCUCAUCAUGUUUCUGCAUAUGUAUAGCGGGUUUCUAUAAUUAGUUAUAUAUACACAUGAUAACUUACAGUGACAUUAUUGAAAAAAAGAAUCACUUACAGACAGAAGCAACUCAUUAGAGAUUUGUCAAGAGUGUCCAUGUGGCACAGUUGGUGUAGCUCAUUAAAUUGAACAUAAAUAAUAUCAUCACCACAGAAGUAAUGAUAGUUUCUAAUUCGGACACAAGAUAAUCAUCAACUUUUCUGACACACGCUGCCAUAUACCAUUUGUUUAGCAUGUACAUUUGCGUUCCAAGUUUGCUGAGGGCCGCAGGGUUGUAUAGACUCUUGCCAUAUGUAUAUCCCUUCUGCCAAUGAUCGAAUUCUGGAGCACUUUCAAUUGGUGCCCCAGCUAUCAUUUGGGCUAAGCUGAGACCAGUUUCCGCAAAAAAAUUUCAAGCUCAUCAAAUUUUAAAUCUGUCGAUAUCUGCUGGUCUAGCACGUCAGUGUUUGAACCAUAUUCAUUUCCAAUUACUAGCGGGGAAACUGAUUGCUUUGAUUGUUCCCCGAGCUGUGCUACACCCUUGCGUGCUCUUUUCUCUUUCUUUUUCUCUUCUUCUAUGGAUUUCCUUAAAGUGCGAUCAUAGUCCGAUAAAGAUGAUGAUUCUUUCUGAGCUUCAUGCCUUUUUUUUUGAGCCUCAACCCUUUGUCGUAGAUCUUUCAGUCUUAAGUUUCUUGAAGAAACUAUCCACAUCUGAUUUUACCGAAGCAUCUAGUUCUGCAUCAGUCUUCUCAUAGGACAGCUUCUUAGGAAUGAUAGUUUGUUUCUUUUCGGAGGCUUUCUUUUUUGGCGGCGGGGCGGCCGACACAUUUGAUUGUGUGGCCGGCCUCUUCUUUCGUGCUGGAGCCACGUGUGGAGGCGAUGGGGCGGCCGGUGGCGGUGUUGGAGCCCGAGGAGGCGGCGUUGGAGCCCUAGGUGGCGUUGGAGCCCUAGGUUUUGGUGUUGGAGCCUGAGGUGGCGGUGUUGGAGCCCGAGGUGGCGGUGUUGGAGCCCUAGGUGGUGGUGUUGGAGACCGAGGCGAUGCAGCCGUGUCUUGCACUCCCUCGUCAUCACCCGCAGCACUAGGACAUGUUGGUGACCACUUGUGAAACCAAAAGGUAUAUGAGUAAACCGCUAACUAAGAGAAUGCAAAAUAAAGUUAGUGAACAAAUGUAUAGUCAAUUUUCAUCCACACCUAGGAUUAGAUUCAUGAGAGGAGGUGGUGGUAGACUACUAGGUGAUGCCCCAGGAAUAAUGAUGUAGCGCUUGCACCAACAAAUAAAAGUCUUCUCUCCAUCACCUCCUUCUAUCUCAAGCUGCACAUUACUGAAGCCUUUGACAACUCUAUCCACCGAGACACUAGCAUAUCCAGGUGGAACUAUCGCCCCAUUGAUUCUUGGUGUCUUCGUAGGGUCGACAGGAGUUACAACACCGACAACAACCAUGACUGUGGCAGUCCCCUAUGGAAUGUGCAGCUCACAUGUUGUCAGAGCUUCACUAAUGUCAUCCACCGGAAAGUGCAGCCCCACAUCGUCUUGAAUAGUUGGCAUCUCCGUGGAAGCACAACUGCUUUUCAACUGACUGGGGGGGGCUAAUGUUGACUCUAGGCUCUGAUGCAGUUUGCCUUUGUAUAGAACUUACUGCCAUCUGCACUUGUCUUUUGAUCUCCUCAUUCAUUCUCUCUUCAAGCGCUUUCUCUCGCGCUAUCGCUUCAUGAGCCGCUUUGCAUGACUCCAUCACCAUUGCCUCCAACCUACGCAACCGCUCUACUUCCUCUUUCUUCUUUCUUUGGCGGCUUCUAUAAGUCGGUCUAUCUUUAGGGAAGCCAUGCUCCCACGAUACAUACCCAUAGCCUCUUGUUCGCCCACCGUGUUCAGCAGUCUCCAGGGCGUAUGUCAGCUCAUCCUUUUCUCUAUUUGGCUGCCAGGUGUCACUUUCAACUAAUCCUCUAGCAUAGGCCAUUCUCUGUCCUACUCUCUCCAGCUUUUCGCCGUACACUAUCUUUCCGGUCUCUAGGUCUAUGGUUCCCUCGUGACCGAAGAACCAAUACUUGGCGCGCUCAGGCCAGUGCAUUGAUUCUGGUUCGAUCCCUCUCCCAAGAAUCUCCUGUUCCAUCUAUUGCCACAUAGGAAUAGCAGUCUAGCCACCUGAACCCAAGUGAUGGUGGUAUUGCUUUUGUUUAGCAUUUUCCUGAUUCUUGAUCAUCCGUGCCUGACCCUCUUCUGAGUUCUUAAACUCUACGAACUCAUCCCAAAAAGGCCUCAACUUGACGUAGGCCUUGUUGGUGAAAUCCGGUGUCCGGCCAUGUGCAACAAAAGUCUUGUAUAAUGUCUUCUUCCAAGCUUGAAAUUGUUUGGCCAUCUUCUGCAUAGCCCAGAUUUUAACCUUCUCCUUCAAAGCUUCAUCUUGUGUAUCGAGCGUGAAAUGUUGAAGGAUAUCUAGCCAAAUCAAUUCCUUGUCACGAUCUGAGACAAAACUAAUAUUAGAGUUAUCUUUCCGUUGCUUACAUUCACGAGCACUGACCGGGAGCCCGUCCCUUACAAGGUACCCACAGUGCGCAACAAAUUUUUUAGAAUUGGCCCCAAGCACUUGUCUUGUACCCUCAUCAAAUCUAGAUGUGCCACUGCAGCAUGUAAUUAAUUUACGAGACAAAUUUUUUGCAAGUAAACAAGGCCCUCCAUAUAUAUGUUUACAGCAUGUAAUUAAUUUGCAAGAUAAAUAUGAUAAACGAAACACUUCCAUACAUAUAUGUAUACAUGCCUUAGCUAAAAAUUAGAUAAAAUUAGCUAAGAGUAAUUACACAGUUCAUAGGGAAACCGCGAGACAAACCUUUUAAGCUUAAUUAGUUUUUGUUAGCCAUAAUUACUAUAAUAACACAGAUAUGCUAAUAACGGAUUAGUUAGAUAUAAUAAAUUUGUCUCACAGUUUUUAGAGAGAUUAUAUAAUUAAUUUUUUAAAUUAAUAUCCAAACUGCUCUUUCGAUAUUCCAUAAAUUAUUCGAUACAACAACUAAAGACUUGUUUAGUUUCAAAAAUAUUCGAUACAACAACUAAGGGCUAACAUAAACUAAUAUACAGGAUACAUAUAUAACAAUAAACUAAUUACAACUAAGGGCUAACAUAAACUAAUUACAACACAGGACAAAUUAUAUUAUAUAAAUUAUAUAAUACAAAAGAUAAAUUAUAAAAUAGAAAUUAUACAUCUCAUCUCAAUAUCUAACCCUACUAACCAAUUACAACACAGGAUAGUUUCUCAUAACAAUUUCUCAUCCAAAUCUAAACAUAUAUAGUUUCUCAUAACAAUUUGCUCAACAUAUAUAGUUUCAAAAAAACAUCACAAUGCAAAAGUGCUGGCCGAGAGAUCAUCUUCGUACGGUGGCGACCGAGGGAAAAGAAGCUCGCGCGCGCGGUGUACGGAGAAGAAACGCGCACGGCGUACGGUCGCCGGAGAAGAAGGCCUCGGCGGUGUGGCCGGAGAAGAAGGCCUCGGCGGCGUGGCCGGAGAAGAAGCUCUCGGCGGUGUACGGAGAAGAAGGCGCUCGGGGCCGGAGAAAGAAGCGGUGGGGGCGCUCCUCGGCUACGGUGGCGGCGGCGGCGCUCCUGGGCUCGGCCGGGGACGAGGGUGAGGCGACGACGGGGAGGAGCGGCGCGUGGCGGAGGAAGUUAGGGCAACGUCGAUCUGAGAAAGAAGACUGUGCGCUUAAAUAUACGCGGGGACCUUUAGUCCCGGUGCGUGUCACCAACUGGGACUAAAAGGUCUUUAGUCUUGGUUGGUGAUACGCACCGGGACUAAAUGUAUUUUUGCUGUUUCUUAUUUAUUUAUGCUUACAAUAAUUAGAUUAAUUUUGUUAAUUGCAUAGUAAAUAGAAUAAUAGUUAUUAAUUUGUUAAAAAAUAAUAGUUCCAUUUCUUUUUGUCCAAUUGCUUACAUAAUAAAUUUGGAAACAUAAAAUCUUUUCAUCUCUUAUAUUAGCAAACUUAAAUAUGAAAAAAUUAGUAUUUUGUUAAUGCAAAAAUGUAUAAUUUAAUUUUAAUAUCUUAAAGUAGGUGUUUUUGAUAGAAAAUUUGUUUGUGCAUUAUUUAAAAGCAAAUUUUGUUUAUUUAUCAUCAUUUAUCUUCAAAAUCAUGAUAUACGUGAUAUUCACCAUUACAUCGGAUUAUUUUUUUUAAAGAGUUUUCUCUAUUUCUUAUUUAUUUAAGCUUACAACAAUAUUCACCAUUACAUCGGAUUAUCUCUAACAACUUUGUAUUUAAAUUUUUUUCAUUUCAAGUCAACAAAUGGGUCAUUUGACCAAGUUUGACUAAAGUCAAAACAUUGGUUUUUAGAAACACACACUUUGACCGAACCCUAUAUGGUCCCAAAUGGUAAAGUAAUGAAUACAAAGUUUGUUGCACUCAUCAAGUUCUACAUUUGGUCUAAUGGUCAACUUUUCUUUUAGAAAAGUUUGAACCACUCAAUUUUGAAUUUUGAAAGAAUUCAUAGCCACACAUCGGUUUUCGGAACCCUGGGAAAAGUCAUGAAUACCAAUAUUGUUACACUCAUCAAAAUCUACAUUUAAUAUAUAGACAGUUUUUGCAUUUGACAAAGUGUUGGGAAGCUGUAGUUGAAAAUCCACAAUUGACACAUAUAGUUUCAUACAGUUUGUGUGAGAUUCAAGAUUUGGUGGGAAUUUUGAACUUAAAUUUUCUCAAAUAGAAAAAUUGUCUAUAUAAAAAGUUUAGAUCUUGGUGAUAUCUAACAACUUGGUAUUCAAAUUUUUUUCAUUUUAAGUAAUUUAGUUUGUCAUUUGACCAAGUUUGACUAUUUUUGCAUUUGACAAAGUGUUGAGAAGGUGUAGUUGAAAAUCCACAAUUGACACAUCUCUUAUAAUAGCAAACUUAAAUGUCAUUUCCCACAAGUCAUUUCAUUAUUUGAAAUGAUAUAAAAUAAGAAAAACUAAUAUAAACAUCUUAAGUUACAAUUGUCACAUACACAUACUCUAAUGCAAUCUAUUUAUUAGGCGGGCACAAUAGUGAUCUUCUUUUUGACGUAUGUUCCUUGGUCAUGAUCUUGAUGUAACCAUGGAGUGUCCUCAGCAUUUAUCAGUAUGCUCGGAUCUUUGGUCACAUUGAAAGGCGUGAUUCUGUCAUCCCAUUCAUAGUCUUCCGAAACAUCUGACUUGUCCUCAAUUCCCACAAUGUUUCUUUUCCCUUGAGAGAACUAUAUGGCGUUUUGGCUCAUUUGUUGAUUUGUUGUCAUUUUUCCCUCUCUUCUGUUUUUAGACAUGUCUUUCACAUAGAACACCUGAUUCACAUCAGCAGCAAGGAUGAAUGGUUCAUCUUUGUAACCAACAUUGUUGAGGUCCACUGUUGUCAUUAGAUAGUCUUUGUCAACUGUCACCUCGACUCCGGUAACCUUCACCCAUUGGCACCGAAACAAAGGGACUUUAAGAUUAGGUGUGUAGUCUAGUUCCCAAAUCUCCUCUAUACAGCCAUAAUAUGUUUGUCUGUUUCCAUUCGGGUCUAUGGCGUCUACGCAAACCCCACUAUUUUGGUUCGUGCUUCUUUUAUCUUGGGCUAGGGUGUAAAAUGUAUUUCCAUUUAUCUCGUACCCUUUGUCAUGAGGAUGUGCCAUGAUGGUUGCCUAGCCAACAAAUACAGUUGCUCAUCAAUCUGGUCAUUAUCUUGACAUUCUUUUUGUAACCAAUCACUGAAAGUGUCCAUGUGCUAAUGCAUAAACCAAGCUUAAUUCUUCUUUGGGAAUUGGGAUCGUAGGAAGUCCUUGUGUUUCGUGACAUACGGCUCCACCACAGAUGAGUUUUGAAGAACUGUGUAGUGUGCUUUAUUGAAAGAAUCGUCCCUCGUACCGAUGUAUGUUUUCUUUCCUAGUGUUCCCUUUCCACUCAGUCUCCCCUCGUGUCGUGAUUCAAGAACACCAAUUGGGUCAAGUUCAGGAAUGAAUUCAACACAUAACUCAAUGACCUCAUCUGUCCCAUAGCCCUCUGCGAUGCUUCCUUCUGGCCGAACACGUUGGUGAACAUAUUUCUUCAGAACUCCCAUAAACCUCUCGAAGGGAAACAUAUUAUGUAGGAACACAGGACCAAGAAUAUUGAUCUCCUUGACCAGAUGAACUAGGAGGUGUGUCAUGAUAUCAAAGAAGGAUGGAGGGAACACUAACUUAAAGCUGACAAGACAUUGAACCACAUCAUUCUGUAGAGCAGCUAGUUCCAGUAGAUUGAUUGCCUUCGGAGAAAUUGCAUUGAGGAAUGCACAUAGCUUUACGGUGGCCAGACGUACAUGUGGAGGUAGAAUUCCUCUUAAUGCAACUGGAAGCAAUUGCGUCAUAAGCACAUGGCAGUUAUGUGACUUUCAUUUCAGAAAUUUAUUCUCGGGCACAUUAAUUAUACCUUUUAUAUCAGAGGAGAAUCCAGAUGGGACCUUGAUGCUGCUUAAGCAUACAAACAUGAUUUCUUUCUCUUCAUUGCUAAGAGUGUAGCUAGCAGGUAUUAAAUAUUUGCGUCCAUCAUCUCUCUUCUUUGGAUGUAGGUUGUCUCGUUGUUCCAUACGUUGCAAGUCUUGUCGUGCUUCAAGUGAAUCCUUAGGCUUACCAUAUACACCCAUGAAUCCUAGAAGGUUCACACAAGGAUUCUUUGUUAGGUGCAUGACGUCGAUCGUAUUUUGGACCUCUAGGACUUACCAAUAGGGUAGCUCUCAAAAUAUUGACUUCUUCUUCCACAUGGGUGCAUGACCCGUUGCAUCUUUUGGAACUGGUUGGCUGCCUUGUCCCUUACUAAAAACUACUUUCACAUCCUUAACCAUCUCAAAUACAUCUUCUCCAGUUCUGUUGCGAGGCUUGCAUCGGCGGUUUGCCUUACCUUUAAAAUGCUUUUAUUUCUUUCUAACUGAGUGAUUCAUAGAAAGAAAUCGACGAUACCCAAGGUACACGACCUUUCUGUAUUUUUUCAAACAUAUACUAUCAAGGUCAUCAAAACAGUGUGUGCAUGCAUUAUAUCCCUUGUUUGUCUGCCCUGAAAGAUUACUUAGAGUAGGCCAAUCAUUGAUUGUCACAAACAACAGUGCUCGCAGGUCGAAGUGUUCCUGUUUGUACUCAUCCCACACACGAACACCUGUUUCACUCCAUAAAAGAAGGAAUUCUUCAAUUAAUGACCUUAGAUAGACAUCAAUGUCAUUGCCCGGUUGCUUCGGGCCUUGGAUGAGCACCGGCAUCAUAAUGAACUUUCGCUUCAUGCAUAACCAUGGAGGAAGGUUGUAGAUACAUAGUGUAACAGGACAAGUGCUAUGACUACUGCUCUGCUCACCAAAAGGAUUCAUACCAUCCGUACUUAAAGCGAACCUUAAGUUUCUUGCGUCUUUUGCAAACUCUAGAAAUUCCCUGUCUAUUGCUCUCCACUGGGACCCAUCAACAGGGUGUCUCAACAUGUUGUCUACUUUACGGUCUUCUUUGUGCCACCGCAACAAUUUUGCAUGGUCCUUAUUUCUAAAAAGACAUUUCAAACGUGGUAUUAUAGGAGCAUACCACAUAACCUUUGCAGGAAUUUUUUUUCUGGGACGUUCUUCCCCCUCAACAUCGCCAGGGUCAUCUCGCCUGAUCUUAUACCGUGAUGCUUUACAUACGGAGCAUUCAUCUAAAUUCUCGUAGUCCUUGCCACGGUAUAGGAUGCAGUCGUUAGGACAUGCAUGUAUCUUCUUGAUUUCUAAUCCCAAAGGACAGACGAUCUGUUUUGCUUCGUACGUAGUAGUGGGCAGUUCAUUAGGCUUCGGUAGCAUCUUUUUUGGAUCUUCAGUAAUUGCCCAAAUGCCUUAUCGAAUACACUAUUAUGUGCCUUCCAUUUUAACAACUCCAGUGUUGUACCUAGUUUUUUUUGCCCAUCCUGGGCAGAUGGGUAUAGUAAUUUCUUGUGAUCUUCUAAUAUGUGGUCAAACUUUGUCUUCUCUUUUCACUUUCGCAAUCUUUCUGUGCAUCACGAAUGACAUCACCAAGAGCAUCAUCUUCAACAGGUGCGCCUUCUGCACCUGCCUCAUCUUCAGCUUCUCCCAUUGCUGUAUCACCGAAGUCACCGUAUUGAGCAAUAAUGUCGUUAGGCUCCAACUAUUCUUCUUCACCUUCUUCCAUCAUUAUCCCGUUUUCUCCAUGUUUGGUCCAACAAAUAUAGUUUGGCAUAAAACCCGACUUCAACAAAUGUGAGUGAAUAUUUCUAGAGCUAGAAUAUUCCUUCAAAUUCUGACACAAGGCAUAUGGGCAACAUAUGAAUCCAUCCCGCUUGUUUUCCUCGGCCACUCUUAAGAAAUAAUGCACACCAUCAAUGAAUUCUUUGGAGCGGCGAUCGGCAUUGUACAUCCAAUGACGUGUCAUUGUCUACAUUGCAAUAUAAAGUAUUAUAAGUUUCAAAUUUUUUAUUCAUAAAUUAAAGUAACAAAUAACCUAAAAUUCUCUAUUUCUAAUUUUUCUAAACCAGCAAAAUUAAAAAGACAUAAAAGUUCUCUAUUUUUCUAACUAAUCAUGAAAUGUGGCAUGCAUACUAGUUAUAAUUAACUAAUUAACCUUGGCAUAAAUUGCAAAUUAAAGUAUUAUAAGUUUCUAAUUUUUAAUAGAGAAAUUGAAGUAACAAAAAACCUAAAAUUCUCUAUUUCUAAUUUCUCUAAACAAGAAAAAUUAAAAAAGCACAAAAAUUCUCUAUUUUUCUAAAUAAUCAUGAAAUGUGGUAUGCAUACUAGUUAUAAUUAACUAAUUAAAUUGGUCAAAAAUUGCAAAUUAAAGUAUUAUAUGUUUUUAAUUUUUUCUAAACUAAUUAAAAUAAAAAACAUAGCAUCACUAUUUCUCUAAAAAAACGUGUCGAUGUUGAGAAGACGAUGAAGCUAGUAACCUCUUAAAAAACCAUAAAAUAAAAAACAACAUACAUAACACUAGGAAAUGACAUAUGCCGCUGCUAAAUGUUGAGAAGAUGAAGCUAGUGACCUCUUAACAAGUCGAUAACGGCGUAGAAAUGAUGAAAUGAAUCAAUAGCCGGAGAUGAGAGCAAGAACGAGCAACUCCAAAUGAAAAACAUCAGCAAAAGAGUGAAGAUCGAUGGGCUCGGCCAGAGGAAGAAGAAGAGUUCAAAUAUGGAGAAGGACAUUUAGUCCCGGUUCCAUUUAACAACCGGGACUAAAGUCCAACAUUAGUCCCGGCCGGCCGGUGAGACGGACCGGGACAACAACUUUUAAUCCCGGUUGGUGUUACCAACCGGGACUAAAAGCUGGGCUUUAGUCCCGGUUGGUAAGACCAACCGGGACUAAAGGUCCCUUCUGCCGAUCUCUGACACCAUAGCCGUUGGGCAGGGGACUUUUAGUCCCGGUUAGUCUCACCAACCGAGACUAAAGAUGUUUUUGUCCGAGACGCUGAUUGGGCCGAAAUUAUUGUUCAUUUUAGGCAAGUGACCAAACGCCUGUUCAGGCCUGUUCUGUUGUAGUAGUGUAUGAACCUCAUUUCUUAGUGAAAGUGCCCGUCAUCUCUCAGGAUAUAAAAUGAUAGUGUUGCUCGCCUUCAUCCAAUUAAAAUCACAAGUUUAGCUUCCUGCUGAACAACAGUGCUGUGUAUGACAACUCAUUUGUGGCAACCAGCGUUCGAUAUCUAUUUUCUGGUUCCAACUAGAGCUAUUGCAUCGCGAUUUUUCCUCUACAACACUGAAUUGCUACAACAAAAUUUUUUGGCCAAUAAUUACCGUUUGUAAAUUUUUGUUUGCUAUAGGUUUUCCAUAGCCAAAGUCAUCUGUAUUAAUUGUUUCAUGCUGAACCAAACUGAGCCUAUUUUUCAGACUGACAAACACCAAUUGGCAUUCUUUCUUUGCAGUAGAUUUGCCACGGCCACAGCUACACCUGCUGCCUCUGCUGAAACACAUACACGAACCAUAGAGCAGCCACACCUUUUGGAAGACAACAAGAUCUGCUUAUGUUUCGGUUCGAAGCCACUUCAUCAUCACUUCCUCCAGUGAUCAGGCAUAUUCUAGCAAAAUGCUUAGGCUACAUCUACAUGCUUACCAUGUGUGUCCUGCAUAUAGCUGUCACAUGUACUUUACUCUAUGCACCCGUGUUAUACUCUAUACACCCGUGCAAACUUAACGCUCAUCUGUUUUUAAUUCACCAUAUGAGAUACUGUUAACCGUCCAUGUCUUUGUCAUCAACGAUGCGACACUGAAAAGGUCUCUUCUUUUGUGUAUGGGCCUGUAAAAUUCCACUAAAUUUGAGUAUGUGCCUGUUUGGCUUGGCUCCAAGUGGAGUUAGCCAAACACCCCAACUCCAGAAAAUGUUGGAGCAGCCCAACUCCAUGGAGUUUUUAGAGGUCUAGUACAAAUUUUUGGAGUACCUCUUCUCCAACUCCGAAACUGACCAAAACAGACCAAGACGUGGAGUUGGGGCGAAAUUACCCGUAAUUGCCACUGGUUACACAAGUGAAUCAUUAUUUUUUCUAUUCUCCCUACCCCGACCCCUUCCCCUUCACGCGAGCAGACUCCCUGCCCCGACCCGACAACCUUCACGCGCGGACAGAGGGAGCCCAUGACUCCUGUCGCCACCGUCCGCUUCCAAGGGACGAGCAGGCGGGCGCCCCCCCCCUCUCUCCGCCUCUCUCCCCGCCCCCUCCCUCCAUCCGCCACUGGCGGCCGGCGAAGGAGAAGACAAGGAGAAGGUCAUCCUCAACCCUAACCGUAGAAAAGGGGAAGAAGGGUGCCUCUCCACCCACCGGCGGCCGGCAAAGAAGAAGAAGGACGACGUGAGGCACCCCCGAUGCUCCCCCAACCUUGCAAGGCAUCCCCAUCCCCAUCUCUAUGCUGUGUGUUUUUUUAAGAACAAUGAGUUCAUGGUUUUGGAGAACAUGCUGUGUAGAAUUAUUGAUUUCAUGGAUUAUUCGGAUUAUCUAAGAUUUAUUAUUUCGGAUUAUCUUGUAUGUUAUUGAAUUUUAUUUUAUAUGCAUCAAAUAUUUUUUCACCCAUAAUUAUCUUUUCACGUUCUCAUUUUUCCAAGAAUGCACCAUAUAUGCAUGGUUCAAUUUUAAAGCAAACGGCCGAACGUAACGGGUGCAUAUGUGAUUGAAGGCAAGGGUAAAGUAGGCAAAACACAGUGACAAAGCACGACUCUGGAGCUCAUAGUACCAUUCUAGCCAAAUACCCAGUGGCGAAUCUAGCCGAAAACAUUGUUGGGGUCAUCAGGGUCAACUUCACUAUGUGAUAUAAUUUUUCUUAAGUUUAAAUAGUAAUUUACAAAGGAUUUUACAAAUUUUGUCGGGGUAGGCGGACCCCGAUGAACAACCCUAGAUUUGCCUCUGCAAAUACCCCUACCAGAAAUGAUGAUGUACUUUCCUUGACUUACAAAAGUGCCAUUCUUCAUUUGCUUGAUUUGAAGACCAAGGAAGUAACUAAGCUCUCCAAUCAUGGACAUCUCAAAUUCAUUUGCCAUCAUUUUUCCAAACUCUUCACAAAAGUCUUGAUUGGUUGAUCCAAAGAUGAUAUCAUCAACAUAGAUUUGCAACACAAACAAGUCAUUGCCUAGCUUCUUGGUGCAGAGGGUAGUGUCAACCUUUCCCAUCUUGAACCCUUUAGAGAGAAGGAAAUCUCUCAAUCUCUCAUAUCAUGCUCUAGGUGCUUGCUUCAAACCAUACAAUGCCUUCUUGAGCUUGUAAACAUGGUUGGGUUUCUUGUCAUCUUCAAAACCGGGAGGUUGUUCAACAUAAACCAACUCAUUGAUGUAUCCAUUGAGAAAUGCACUCUUCACAUCCAUUUGAUGAGCUUGAUGUUGUGGGCACAAGCAUAGGCUAAUAAUAUUCUAAUUGCCUCCAAUCUUGCAACCGGUGCAUAUGUUUCUCCAAAGUCAAGACAUUCAACUUUAGUGUAGCCUUGUGCUACUAGUCUUGCUUUGUUUCUCACAACUACACCAUCUUGAUCUUGCUUGUUUCUAAAGACCCACUUGGUACCAAUCACAUUGUAGUUCUUUGGCCUCUCAACAAGCUCCCACACUUGAUUUCUUGUGAAGUUGUUCAAUUCUUCAUGCAUGGCAUUUACCCAAUCGGAAUCUUUCAAUGCAUCUUCUAUCUUCUUUGGUUCCUCAAAUGAGACAAAAGAAUAGUGCUCACAAAAGGAAGCUAGCCUUGAUCUUGUUUGCACACCACUUUGAAUACCUCCAAUGACUUGAUCCAAUGGAUGAUCCCUUGCUAUACUAGUAGGUUGGAGUAUUGGGAAUUGAUUGCUUCCACUAGCUUGAUUUUGAUCUUGAUCAUCAUCAUGAGAGCCACUAGUACUGGCUUGAUUUGUAUCAAUUUGCACUUCUUGAUUGAUCAUGUGAAUGUCAUUAUCAUCAUAAACUUGCAUUGGCCUUAUGUCACCUACAUCCAUAUUUUUCAUUGCAUUAGCCAAUUGAUCUCCUCUCACAUCAUCAAGAUUUUGAACUUCAUUUUGAGAUCCCUCGGUUUCAUCAAACUCCACAUCAUGGACUUCUUCCAAUGUGCCACUUGCCAAGUUCCAAACUCGAUAUGCCUUGCUUGUGGUGGAAUAACCAAGUAAGAACCCUUCAUCACAUUUCUUCUCAAACUUGCUCAAUCUAGUGCCUUUCUUGAGAAUGUAGCAUUUGCAACCAAACACUCUAAAGUAUGCAAUGUUGGGCUUUCUUCCAUUCAAUAGCUCGUAUGGUGUCUUCCCAAGCUUCCCAUGGCAAUAGAGACGGUUGCUACAAUAGCAAGCCGUGUUGAUGGCUUCACUCCAAAAUGAAUGGCUAACAUUGUACUCACUAAGCAUUGAUCUAACCAUAUCAAUCAAGGUUCUAUUCUUCCUUUCAACUACACCAUUGGAUUGAGGAGUGUAUGUUGGAGAGAAUUGAUGUCCAAUGCCAAGAUCAUCACAUAAUUCCUCAAUUCUUGUGUUCUUGAAUUCACUACCAUUGUCACUUCUAAUCUUCUUGAUAGUGGUUUCAAACUCAUUUUGCACCCUCUUGACAAAAGACUUGAAUAGAUCACAAACAUCACUCUUGUUAUAGAGGAAGAACACCCAAGUGUAUCUAGUGUAGUCAUCUACUAUCACAAAUCCAUACUUGUUGCCACCAAUGCUAGUAUAUGUUGUUGGCCCAAAUAAAUCCAUGUGCAAAAGCUCAAAUGCCUUUGAUGUGCUCAUUUCACUUUUCUUAGGAUGUGCAUUUCCAACUUGCUUUCCGGCUUGACAAGCACUACAUGGUUUAUCCUUCUCAAAGGUGACAUCCUUCAAGCCUCUAACUAAGUCAUGCCUCAAUAGUUUGUUCAAUUGUUUCAUUCCAACAUGACCAAGCCUUCUAUGCCACAACCAACCCAAACUUGAUUUGCUAAUUAGGCAUGAUGUCAAUUGAGUGUCACUAUCAUUGAAAUCAACCAAGUAUAAGCUACCAUGCCUAAAUCCUUUGAAUAUCAAGUUUGAUCCAUCAACACUAACAACCUCAACAUCAUCACUUCCAAAGAUGCACUUGAAACCAAGGUCACAAAGUUGUGCAAUAGACAAGAGAUUGAAAUCAAGGCUUUCAACUAGCAACACAUUUGAUAUGCUCAUGUCAUUUGAGAUAGCAAUUUUACCAAGCCCCUUGACCUUGCCUUUCUUGUUGUUACCGAAGGUAAUUGAAUCAAAGCCACCAUUUUGACUAGUAUCAAUUGAUUUAAACAUACAAGACUCCCCGGUCAUAUGUUGAGUGCACCCACUAUCAAGCACCCAAUGCCUUCCUCCGGCUUUGUAAUUGACCUACAAGACAAGAUCAAUUCCUUUUAGGUACCCAAACUUGAUUGGGUCCUCCAAGGUUAGCAACUAAGCUCUUUGGUACCCAAAUGGCUUUCUUCUUUGAGCCCAUCCAUGGUGCACCAAUGAACUUAGCAUGAAUACCUUUUGUAUCCUUGGUAAGCACAUAGAAAGAAUUAAGCUUAAUUGAGGAUACAUAAGCUUUGGGUUUCUUGUUCAUGCAUUGUUGCUCUAGGUGACCAACUUGCUUGCAAGCUUUGCAAUACCGGCCAUUUUUCUUCACAAAACUAGUCUUGUGAGGAGCAAAGGCGGCCUUGCCUUUCUUGGGGUUAUAGCCUAAUCUCUCUUUAUAGAGAGAAGCUCUUUGGCUACCCAAGCACAUAAGCAAGCGGCCUCACCACCAUAAGCCUUGGCUAAGGUGUGAUUGAGCUCUUUCACCUCCUUCUUGAGAAUUUCAUUCUCAACUUUAAGUGUGGUCUCACAUGUGAAACCAUCACCACUCGAUUAGGAUGAUGUAGAUGAGCUACAUGAAGGGUUAGUAGAAGCAACAACAAUAGGGUUGCUUAAGAUAUCACAUGUUAUGCCUAUGUUGCAAGUUUGAGCUUUUUCAAUUUUAGUUGGCUCAUUUUCACAUUUGUUAACUAGAGAGGAAUGAGCUUCUUCAAGCUUAGUGUGAGCAUUUUGAAGCUUCUUAUGGUCUUCCUUUAGACUCUCAUAAGAUGCUCUAAGCUCAUCAAGUUCUUACUCAAGGGUUUUCUUAUCCUUAAGCAAGGCCUUGCACUCCUUUCUAGUUUCUUUAUAAUGAUGAGUGCAAUCUUCUAGCAUAGUGAUUAGUUCAUCUUUAGUUGGUUCGUCAUCAUCACUAUCACUAUCACUAGCAUGGUCACUCUCAUCCUCGGAUGAUACCUUAGUGGCCUUAGCCAUGAAGCAUGAUGGAGUGUCGAAGAUGGAGCUCUUUUCUUGAAUGGCAAUGCUAGCAUGCGCCUUCUUCUUAGUGCUCUCAUCAUCACUUGAGGAGUCAUCACUAUCCCAAGUUGCAACAUGGGCAUCACCCUUCUUCUUGUUUGAGCCUUCCUUCUUUUCUUGCUUCUUCUUUUGCUUCUUCCUUUCCUUCUUGAUAGCAUCUUCAUCAUCACUAUCAUAAGGACACUUGGCGAUGAGAUGAUCGUUGCUAUGGCAUCUAAAGCACCUCAUGGAGUAAUCAUUCUUCUUAGAAGAGUUCUUCUUUCUUCUUGCUCGAUAGCCUUUCUUCUUCAUGAACUUGCCAAAUCUCUUCACAACAAGAGCCAUCUCCUCAUCUUCAUCACUAUCACAAGAGCUUGCUUCUUCUUCACUUGAUGAUUCUUGCUUAGCUUUGCCCUUGGAUGUGGAGGCCUUGAAUGCCACACUCUUCUUCUUCUCAUCAUCCCUCUUUUCACCUUCCUUCUUCCUUUUCUUGACCAACUCAUCCUUCUCAUCAUCUUCUCUAUAAGCAUGAUCGGUCAUUACUUCUUGGAACACUUGUUGGGGAGUUGAUUCACUAAGUGUUGUCUUGACUAGCACGGUGAUCAAUGUGUCAAAUCUCUUGGGCAAGCUUCUCAAGAAUUUCAUAGAGAAUUGACUAUCUUUCACUUCUUCCCCAAGUGCCUUGAGCUCAUUCACGAUGACUUGCAACCGGUGAAACAUCUCCGGCACACUUUCAUCCUCUUGCAUCUUGAAGCUUGAGAACUUUUCUUAGAGGAUGUAUGCUUUGGCGGUCUUGGUUCCCUUGGUUCCCUCAAAUGUUUCUUCUAAUUUUGCCCAUGCAUCAUGAGCAAUCUCAAUAUUCUUAAUUUGCUCAAAGGUCUUGUCAUCAAGAGCUUCAUGAAGAGCACUAAUGGCAAUAUCAUUGCAUUGUAGCUUCUUCUCUUCGACCGGUGUUGGUGCAUUUUCAUUUGCAACCUCAAACUUUGUUUCGGUCACCUUCCAAACCUCUCUAUUGAUUGACUUGAGAUGAGCGGUCAUCUUGGACUUCCAAUAUGCAUAAUUGGUGCCAUCAAAGUAAGGUGCCUUCUUUGUGUUGUUGAUAUACAAACUAAGAGCCAAUUCUUCACCGUAGGUUGUUAAGCCUCAAAUAAACGGUGCCUCGGCUCCGAUGCCACUUGAAAGGUCCAAAUGGCUAGAGGGGGGGUGAAUAGCCUAUUUAAAUUUUCUACAAACUUCAACUUGACAAGUUGAUUAGUAAAACAAAAGGCGAAGCUAUUCUAACACUAGCACAACUAAGCUAUGCAAGCCACCUACACAAGUCUAAUAAGAAAGCUAAACACUAGUUACAACAAGAAAGCACAACUAGAAGCUUGCUACACUCCUAAACAAGAAGACUAAACUAAACAAGCUAAACAACUAGCAAGGUAAAUAAGUAAGUAAAGGAGUGAAGAGUGAUUGUUAUACCAACGUUGUAGAGUAGAGAUAUGUCCAACCAAUCACUCACAAUCACAAGAGAAUCCUCGGCAAGAGAUGACACAAGAAUUUUUACCGAGGUUCACUUGCUUCCCGGCAAGCUAGUCCUCGUUGUGGCGAUACACCCACUUGAUGGAUCACGAGCUAAUUGGCAAUCCAAAGCCAAACCCUCAGCGGGUGCCGCACAUCCACUCACAAGAUGGGGAUCCUCCAAGCCCCGAGCAAUCCACUAGAGUAGCCAAUUGCGAUCUCCCGCGGGGAAGGCUCAAGAACCCCUCACAAGUCACUUGGUGAGGCUCGAAACAAUCUCCAAUCACGAGCUCAACACCACCGCUGCUCCAAGCCGUUGAAAGGUCCUAAUAUGGCUAGAGGGGGGUGAAUAGCCUAUUUAAAAAUUCUACAAACUCACUAGAGCAAGAGGUUAGUAAAUAACAAAGCGAAGCUUUUUGCUCUAGCUCUAAUGGGGUGUAUGCAAGCCACCUACCCAACAAUUCUAGUUGCUAUGAUCACUAUGCGCACAAGAACUAAGUCACUACUUACACUAGAAAGCUACCUAAAGUUUCUAUACAAGUAAGUAAGCUACUCUAGUUUGCGGGAAUGUAAAAGAGAUGGUUUGAACUUUAUACCGCCGCGUAGAGGGGAUGAACCAAUCAAUAAUAUGAAGUCCAAUCACCGGAAGAAAUCCAAUGAACAAUCACAAUGGAGACACACAAUUUUUCUCCCGAGGUUCACGUGCUUGCCGGCACGCUACGUCCCCGUCGUGUCGAACAACACUUGGUGGUUCGGUGGCUAAGAGGUGUAGCACGAACCUCGUCCUCACUAGGACACCACAAGAACCUACCCACAAGUGAGGUAGCUCAAUGACACGAGCAAUCCACUAAUGUUGCCUUUGGCACUCCGCCGAGGUAGGCACAAACCUCUCACAAUCACCGGGAGAUGGCCACGAACAAUCACCAACUCGUGCCAAUCCUCCUCCGCUGCUCCAAGCCGUCUAGGUGGCGGCAACCACCAGGAGUAACAAGAAAACCGUAGCUAAAACGAUCCCCAAGUGCCACUAGAUGCAAUCACUCAAGCAAAUGCACUUGGAAUCACUCCCAAUCUCACAAAGAUGUUUAAUCUAUGGAGGAGAUGAGUGGGAGGUGUUUGCUUAGGCUCACAAGGAUGUCAAGUAUGUUAGAAUGCCAAGAGAGUAAGCCCCAAGCCGGCCAAACACGUAUUUAUAGCCCCUCAAACAAAUAGAGCCGUUGGCUCUUUCACUGGGCGAAAAACGGGGUCACCGGACGCUCUUAAAGGGGCACCGGACGCUCAGCCCUUGCGUCCGGUGCUCCAACGUCAGCCGCGUGUCAGAGUCUAACGGUAACCUGCAGAGCACUGGACGCUUGAGCAAGUUAGCACCGGACGUCCGGUGCACACCGGACUCAUGCGCAGAGAGCUCCGUAAACUCGCAGGGUCACCGGACGCAAGCCACCGGACGCACCCUUAGCGUCCGGUGCUCACCGGACCCAUGCGCAGAGAGGGUCGCCAAGACGCCCGCACACCGGACGCGCACCACCGGACGCUCAAGCCAGCGUCCGGUGCCUAUCGUCCGGUGCCUUACCCUAGCUGGGCUAGGCACUGUCUGCACCGGACGCUCAGACUUAGCGUCCGGUGCCUCAGUGGCCAGCGUCCGGUGAGUGUUUUCUCAGCGAGAAACACUCCCACGACUUCUCCAAAAUUUCCCACCGGCGCAAUAGAAAAUAUGCACUUCAUUUUCUCGAAAAGCGCCGAAUCCUGCCUCGCAAGCUCGGCGGGAGGGAGAGAGGAACCCAUCCCCUCUCUACCCUUGAAACUCGACCUCCUUCUCAAAGUGUGCCAACACCACAACGUGUGUACCAACGAGCGUGCACGUGUGUUAGCAUUUUCACAAUCAUUUUCUUUGAAGGAGUUAAGUUAGCUCACUAGGUUCUAAAUGCAUGCACAUGAACAAUGACACCUAGUGGCACUUGAUAACCGCUUAGCCAAAGAAUUCCCCUCUUUAUAGUACGGCUAUCUAUCCUAAAUGUGAUCACACCCUCUAUGGUGUCUUGAUCACCAAAACCAAAACCCUAAGCAAUACCUUUGCCUUGAUCUCCAAAGGGUUUUGUUUUUCUCUUUCUUCUUUUCCAAGUUGAGCACUUGAUCAUCUUGUGGUCAUCACCAUCAUCACCAUGAUCAUUACUUGCUCCAUCACUUGGCAUGUACCAACCUCAUUAAGUCUACACACACUUAGUAUAGAGGUUAGUACUAGGGUUUCAUCAAUUAUCCAAAACCAAACUAGGGCUUUCAAUCUCCCCCUUUUUGGUAAUUGAUGACAACCCUUUUUACAAAGAUUUUCAUUAAAAUUUUCUAGGAUUCAUGUUGCUUGCCCAAGCAUUUUACCAUGUGCAAAGGUUAUGGACAAGUUUCAUAAACCCAAAUUGGUAGCAAUUGCUCCCCCUACAUAUGUGCUAAGAGUUUGGAUUUGAAAGCUUGCACAUAUGCUUGAAUAGGAAAAAUAGGAGUCAAUUUCUACCAAAUGAUGCUAAGGUGUAAAGAAUGGACCUUUGAAGCGUGAUACCAAUCGGAGUUGCCAAUAUAUACCAUCCUUAGCACCAUUAGUAACUAGACAUUCACAAAACUAGAACACCUCGUGAGAUCAACAUUAUAAACAAGGUUCUAGUACCACUUGUGAAACAACUAAAAGUCUAGUUACAAUAUCUAUGCAUGCUAGUUUUUCAUUUCAUCAAUCAAAUUUACAACUAGCAAACACCACACAAGCAAGGUAUCGGAGAGAAAGCUUCUAAAGCUAAUGCAAAUGCAAGCAACCAUAUGUGAUGCACAUUCAAAUGCAACAUACAAGUUUAUGAGCUUGCUCCCCCUACUUGUGUGCUUCAAAAUUUUAAAUUUUAAUUGAUCCCCUUCUUUUAUUAUGUUACUCUCCUAUCUUAAAUCUUUGGGAAAUUCUCUCCCCCUUUGUCAUCAAAGACCACAAAAGGUGAGCUCAAAUUUUAGAUAGGUUAGUGUGAAACCAUGUGAAGUGAGAUCAUUUGCCUAAAUUUGGUUCAAUCUAGAUUACUUGGCUAAGAUAUUUAACUCGGUUUGAUCCAAGGACAAGCUUCUUCACACCUCCAAAUAAGGGUUAUCUUGUACCAUGUUGAGUUAAACACUUAUAGCUCAUAUUCUAGAUCAAACACUAGGAUUGCAAGCCCACAAACAUGUCAUAUGCUACCACUAGAUCAUGUCAAGCGUAGAAACAAUAGUGGUACCAUACAAGCAUCAAAUUAAUUUGAUUUUCAUGAAUGAUCCUAAGACAUGUAAGAAAUGACUAAAUGCACUAAACAAGUCUUUAGCAAAGAUGGAUGACAUGUCAAACAAUUUCACCUUGCUUUGCUCGAAGGAGAGGCAUGUCAUAAAGUGGGGGUGCAUCAACACAUAUUUGAGAAGUCAAGUAUGUUCAAUUCAUUCCUUAGCUUGCAAAACCUCUUCUCAUCAAGUGGCUUGGUGAAUAUAUCGGCAAGUUGAUCAUCGGUGCCUAUACUUUCAAUGCAAAUGUCCCCUUUUUGUUGGUGAUCUCUUAUGAAGUGAUGGCGGACAUCUAUGUGCUUUGUUCUUGAGUGUUGAACCGGAUUGUUGGUGAGCUUCACGGCACUUUCAUUGUCACAUAGCAAUGGCACUUCUUUGAAAUUGAUUCCAAAGUCCUUCAAUGUUGCCUUCAUCCAUAGGAUUUGUGCACAACAACUACCGGCCGCAAUGUAUUCCGCUUCGGCGGUUGAUAGUGCAACACUAUUUUGCUUCUUGGAUGACCAUGAGACAAGUGAUCUUCCCAAUAGUUGACAUGUGCCCGAUGUGCUUCUUCUUUCAACUUUGCAUCCCGCAUAGUCCGAGUCGGAAUAUCCAACAAGUUCAAACUUUGCACCUUUGGGAUACCAUAAACCAACAUUUUGUGUAUGCUUCAAGUACCUCAAUAUUCUCUUUGUUGCUUUCAAAUGACUUUCUCUUGGUGAGGCUUGAAAUCUUGCACACAUGCAUACACUAAACAUGACAUCCGGUCUUGAUGCGGUCACAUAGAGUAGGCUUCCAAUCAUGGACCGAUACAACUUUUGAUCCACCAUAUUUCCACUUGUAUCACUGUCUAGGCUUCCAUUUGUUCCCAUUGGUGUGCUAAUUGAUUUUGCAUCAUCCAUACCAAACUUCUUGAGCAUGUCUUUUAUGUACUUGCCUUGACUCACAAAUGUGCCAUUUUUCAAUUGCUUGAUUUGAAGACCAAGGAAGUAACUAAGUUCUCCAAUCAUUGACAUCUCAAACUCAUUAGCCAUCAUGUUUCCAAACUCCUCACAAAAUUCUUGAUUGGUUGAUCCAAAUAUGAUAUCAUCAACAUAGAUUUGCAACACAAACAAGUCUUUGCCAAUCUUCUUGGUGAAGAGAGUGGUGUCAACCUUGCCCAUCUUGAAACCUUUAGAGAGUAAGAAAUCUCUCAAUCUCUCAUACCAUGCUCUAGGUGCUUGCUUCAAACCAUACAAUGCCUUUCUUAGCUUGUAAACAUGGUUGGGUUUCUUGUCAUCUUCAAAACCGGGAGGUUGCUCAACAUAUACUUCUUCAUUGAUAUAUCCAUUGAGAAAUGCACUCUUGACAUCCAUUUGGUAUAGCUUGAUGUUAUGAGCACAAGCAUAGGCCAACAAGAUCCUAAUUGCUUCUAAUCUUGAAACCGGGGCAUAUGUUUCACCAAAGUCAAGACCUUCAACUUGAGUGUAACCUUGUGCUACCAAUCUUGCUUUGUUCCUUACAACUAUCCCAUCUUGAUCUUGUUUGUUGCGAAAGACCCAUCUAGUACCAAUGACAUUGUGAUCACUAGGCCUCUCAACUAAUUCCCAUACUUGAUUUCUCUUGAAAUUGUUAAGCUCUUCAUGCAUAGCAUUAACCCAAUCAACAUCUCUCAAUGCUUCAUCAAUCUUCUUUGGCUCAAUGUGAGACACAAAGGAGAAAUGCUCACAAAAUGAUGCUAAUCUUGAUCUAGUUUGCACUCCUCUUUGAAUGUCACCUAUGAUAUGAUCCAAUGGAUGAUCUCUUGUAAUAUUUGUUGGUUGGAGUAUUUGCACUUGAUUGCUUGCACUUGGUUGAUCAUGAGAUGAUGUACUAGCUUGAUGAUCUUGCACUUGUGUACCACUUGUACUAGCUUGAUUUUGAUCAUGUGAACCACAAGCUUGCACAUUAGAGGUAGGAAUCACUUGAUCUUUGUCAUCUUCAUCAAUCACCUCUCUAGGCCUUAAAUCACCAAUAUCCAUAUUUUUCAUUGCAUCGGCCAAUUGAAUGCCUCUCACAUCAUCUAGAUUCUCUUCUUCCUCAUGAGAGCCAUUGGUUUCAUCAAACUCAACAUCAUGCACCUCCUCAAGAGUACCACUAGCCAAAUUCCAAACUCUAUAAGCUUUGCUAGUAGUGGAGUAACCAAGCAAGAAUCCUUCAUCACAUUUCUUUUCAAAUUUACUCAAUCUAGUGCCUUUCUUCAAUAUGUAGCAUUUGCAACCAAAAACCCGAAAGUAUGCAAUAUUGGGCUUCCUUCCAUUCAAGAGCUCAUAUGGUGUCUUCUCCAUCAUUGGGUGACAAUAAAGUCGGUUGCUAUAGUAGCAAGCCGUGUUGAUUGCUUCGGCCCAAAAAGAAUGACUCAUAUUGUAUUCACUCAACAUUGAUCUUGCCAUGUCAAUCAAGGUUCUAUUCUUCCUCUCAACAAGACCAUUUGAUUGUGGAGUGUAUUUAGCCGAGAAUUGAUGCCUAAUGCCAAAUUCAUCACAAAGCUCAUCAACUCUUGUAUUCUUGAAUUCACUUCCAUUGUCACUUCUCACUUUCUUGAUGGUUGUUUCAAACUCAUUGUGUAUUCUCUUGACAAAUGAUUUGAAGGUUGCAAAAGCAUCACUUUUGUCACUAAGAAAGAAUACCCAUGUAUAUCUUGUGAAAUCAUCCACUAUCACAAAUCCAUAUUUGUUUCCACCAAUGCUUAUGUAUGUGGUUGGUCCAAAUAAGUCCAUGUGCAACAACUCAAAUGCCUUGCAUGUACUCAUGAUGCUCUUCUUUGGAUGAGUGUUGCCAACUUGCUUUCCGGCUUGACAUGCACUACAAAGCUUGUCUUUCUCAAAUGUGACAUCUUUCAAGCCUCUAACAAGAUUAUGCUUAACUAACUUGUUCAAUUGUUUCAUACCAACAUGACCAAGCCUUCUAUGCCAUAACCAACCCAUGCUAGAUUUAGUGAGCAAGCAUGUUGACAAUUGAGCUUCACUUGCAUUGAAAUCAACCAAGUAUAGAUUCUCAUAUCUAAAGCCUUUGAAUAUCAAGUUUGAGCCAUCUACACUUAUGAUCUCUACAUCAUCAACUCCAAAUAUGCAUUUGAAACCAAGAUCACAAAGUUGAGCUACGGAUAGCAAAUUGAAGUUCAAGCUCUCUACUAGUAGCACAUUGGAAAUGCUCAAGUCAUUGGAUAUAGCAAUUUUACCAAGCCCUUUGACCUUGCCUUUGCCAUUGUCACCAAAUGUGAUACUAUCAACACCAUUGUCAUCAUUUGGAUUGAUUGAAUUGAACAUUCUUGAAUCACCGGUCAUGUGUUGUGUGCACCCACUAUCAAGCACCCAAUGCCUUCCUCCGGCUUUAUAGUUUACCUACAAAACAAAUCAAUGUUUCUUAGGUACCCAUACUUGUUUGGGUCCUUGGAGGUUAGUGACUAAGCUUUUUGGUACCCAAAUGGCCUUCUUCUUUGGACCCACAAUUGGUGUACCGACAAACUUAGCAUGCACACCCUUCUCACCCUUGGUAAGCACAUAACAAGAAUCAAAAGGAAUGUAAGGUACAUUAGCAAUUUUCAUGUUCUUGUUCAUUUUAUUGCAAUUAAGCUCUAGGUGCCCAACUUGCUUGCAUUUGUUGCAAUACCGACCAUUGCUCUUCACAAAGCUAGGCUUGUGAGUUGCAAAGGCUUUCUUGCCCUUCUUGGGGGUAUAGCCUAAUCCCUCUUUGUUGAGAGAAAACCUUUGGCUACCCAAGCACUUUAGCAAGCGGGCCUCACCACCAUAGGCCUUGCCUAGGGCGUGAGUGAGCUCAUCCACCUCUCUCUUGAGAGUCUCAUUCUCAACCUUUAGUGAGGUGUCACAAGUGACACUAACACUAGAAGUGGAGGUAGAGUUGGUAGUGGUGGAUGAAGACCUACAAGAAGAGUUAGUGGCAACAACAAUAGGUGGGUUGGGUGAUUCUUUAAUUAAGUCACAUGUUGUGCCCACAUCACAUGAUACAACAAUCUUUUCCUUGUUCUCUUCUAACAACAAGGAGUGAGCUUUCUCAAGCUUGGUGUGGGCCUUGCCAAGCUUCUCAUGGGCUUCCACUAGCCUCUCAUGAUUAGCAUUGAGCUCAUCAAAGGAUUGCUCAAGAGCUUUUAACUUCUUGGUCAAUUCUUUGCACUUCUUGUUUUUAGAUUGAAUAAGUGAAUCGGCUUGUUCUAGCAUGUCCAUGAGUUGUUUAUUAGUGAAUUCAUUUUCAUCAUCACUAUUGUUGAUAUUUGGGAACGCAAUAAGGAAUUGAUCCGCAAGCGCACGGAUAUCGGUGAGCAUUUCACCCGAGAAAUUAUCCAGAGUAUCGUAUUUAUUUUUUUACCACUAGGAGAAAGAGUGCAUCUGACUAACCGGUCUAUUACUACUAACCUUUAGGCACAAAGAAUGUCUUUCGAUGUGAGUGAUAGAGAAGACUGCAACCGUAGUCUCCUUCUAACCUUGGUAAGGAUGAUCUAUUGUUCUAAUGGGGAGGCUAACGGAAUCUAGACAACACAAAGGAUGUUCGACCCGCACCUAUAAACCCUAUCCUUCCUGCUAACGAGAUGUGAUCUACAAAGGUAGCUCGGAAUUGUCACGUUCCUCACUACUACCACGGUCCAGCUAGUCAGGGAAUAUCUAUGAGUACCCCAGCCUAAACACCACGUUUACGCCAGCAAUGAUUACUCUAAACUCUACGCGAAGAGAUUAAAGUAAACUCAUAAACCAUAAGAACAAUAAAACAAGAACUUACUAGAAUUUAGAAGUCGAAUUACUGAAGAAUCCUAGGAGCAAGCUUCGGGUUAGGAGAACUUGAUCCCGCAGGUACAAGCUUGGAGUAGACACCGACAGGUCGGGCUUCCUCCACUCUACACCUCCACUCUAUAUCUCUCAAUCUAGUAGAAACUAGAAGAUCUAUUUCUACCUUACAUUGAUUGCUAAGCCUAAAAAGAAAUAUUAAUUAGAGAAGAGGUUUUCCUUCAAGGGCACCCCUCAGUCUCUAUGAUAAUUUCUUCAUGUCCUCCAGGGGCCAGGGGGGCCUCGCUUAUAUAGUCCUCCCCUUCUAUGCGUUUUUAGGUCGAUAGCCGAGGUGGUACUAUGUUUUUCUUGAUCCAAUAGGUCGGUGGAAUAUCCCGAGUGAAGGAGUCCUGAAUUGGCUCCAACAGGGGGGCGGGCGCCCAGGCUACCAGGGCGGGCGCCCUGGGCCUGGCCCAGCUUUGCCUCCGCUUUGGUCUCGUGGCUUCUGGAGUCUUCUAGAUGAUGUAAAAUUGCGCGGUGCGUUGAUAUCUCUAUGUAAUCCCGACAUGUGGGCCUUUCUUCCUUAUUUCCUGAUAACCCCCUGCAGAAAUAGAUAAACAACAAAACUCGUGGAAUUCUGUCAGAUCAAACCCUAAUUCUAGGUGAUGGUUGCAUAUUGGUCCUUUCUCUUGUUUAUUUGAUAAUUAAAAUUGAUACUUAAGAACCGUCAACAAAUACCCCCAUACUUAGGCUUUUACUCGUCCUCGAGAAAAGGAUGGUUGAGAAUAAUAUCUGGGGUAAACAUUUAAAACAUUCUCUUUAUAAUUGCAGGGUGUCAAAAAUUCCACUGUGUACCAUAGUCAUGGAAGUAUAUGGUUAAGAGUAAAGAUCCUUUCUUCUCAAUCCUGUCACUUGGAGUUUUUGUAUAUUUUUGAAAGAAAGUUAGCAUACCUUUUUAUCCUCAUAGGUUCUCUCAGAUCACUCAUUAUCUUUUGUAUAUAUAUCUCACUGAGGCUGUUUUAAUUUUGCAAAAAUUCUCAAGCAUACUUACUUUGCAUUUAUUGCUUGAUCAAAACGGGAUCCGAGGAGGGGAAUGUCAUACUCUUAGAUCAAAGACUUUAGAAAUUAAAAACUUUGUCAACUCUUGCUGGCAUAUUGCUUAUUAGAGGGACCAUGGGCUAUCAUUUUUUUUCUCUUUUUCUCUCUCUCUUUUUUUUUAAGUGGAUACCGAGGUACCCCUAAUUCUACUGCCGGACACUUGUCCAUUUUUUCUGCGAGGUUGUCGAGCACUUGCUCCUUUUUAUUUCCUCGAAAUAUCUUCUAUUUUUGCAUAGCCCAUGCCUCUAAUGCAAUAAUACUUCGGAAGAGUGAAUCUUACUGAAAUAGUGUCUUGAUCUUGGGAGCAUGAUAAAUCUCUCAACAAGGGUCUAACUUAUUUUGAACAAACUCAAUACAGAGCAGAUAGCUUUUAUAAUCAUAAUUAAUAUUUUCAGUCUUAUCAGGCAUAUAAAACACUGAGGAUGGUAGCUAUAAUUUUGAAUAUUUUGAAAUAAAUUCUCCAAGCAACAAUGAUAUCAAGAAUAAGAAACUCAUACUCUACCAUCACAUAUUCCAUAAUGACUUAAGUAACACAGGGUUUUAAAAUGACUUUAUAAUAAUUGCAAGUUUUCAGGAAAUAUCACAGAUUGAGAUUAAUCAUGAUUAGAAAUAUUUUACUCUUUUUAUUUUAUCAUGUCGGAAACAGUAAUCUGCAUAAUCCAAAAUAAAUGUAUGUAUGAAGUAAAGUGUGCAGAAUGUGUACCUGAAUCGUGGAGUGGUGUAGUCGGAGUGUGUUUGGCAUGUUGAGGGAUCUCCCCCAUACUUGUUUUCUGCUUUCUUGCACAAAAGUAAAGUAGAGACACACAAGACAUAAUAAUAAUAAUAAUACUCUUUAUUGAUCUUGAGGCAUUUAUUACAAAAGACUGAUAGCAAACUGAUGAUAAUAGUAAAUUGAUGAUAAUAGCAAACCUAAACCGAAUUUAAAGAUAGAUAACUAAGAUGCAUUGCCUCAAGGUCUAAUCUAGAUAACUUAGCGGCGCUCUAAUUCCUUGAUCUUCCUGUUGGCACUGGCAAGAUCCUGCCUAAGGCCUAGUAUAACGGUGUUGUGGUUAGAGAGCUGCCUAGUGAGGGAAUUAAUCGAGGACUGGAGGUCUAUGAUAACUCUAUCUAACCUGCGAACUUUCUCAUCAAUAUCCAUUAUAGUCUUGCGACGCUUGGGAGGUGUCUCAAAAGCAUUGAGAGAGUGCUUUGGGGCUGCCUUUGGAGGGAUGAAACGGACUUUGGCUGCUCUAAUCCCUUCAAAGUAAGGCCUUUCCUCCUUCGUAGUGUAGCGAACGCUGCUGAUCUCGCCGCUUCGGUUGGUCUUGACUCCAACGACCCUCUCAUUGGGUCUAGGUGGAAGGAUCCUUGUGCCGAUUGGCACCUUGAUAGUGGUCUUCGUCUUGGAUGAUGGUCCUUUGAGGAGUAGGGGUUGUGGUGGUGCGGUGAGAACUGGUUGAGCAUGGUAAGAUUGGGCGGAGCUGCGUUGACGUAAUGGUAUGGCUUCUAGCUGACGCUCUGUGUUGGCCGGGACGAGAGCACUAGCAUCGGGGUCUUCCACUGGCUCCAUGUUGAGGUUGAAGGGGACGACUUCCCAAUCAUCGUGGUAUUUCUCGGCCAUUGGAGUAGCAAGGAACUAAUAAAAUUUUAAUUGAAAGAGAGCUAAUCAAGCUCUAAUUGAAGGAGAGAAAGCUUGGUGGCUUGGUGUUUGAAAACUGAGGUCAGGGGUCUGUUUAUAUAGGGGUCAAAAGGGUGCCUCUAUGGGUUGUUCGGGUUGCUCCCGUCGAUGUGCGUGCGAAACUUUCCAUCCGAGGGAUUAUUCGGAUCACCCUAAGUGCAUUUUCCAUAACAGAGAAAGUCGGGACCGAGAGGGAACAGGGGCUGGGCGCCCGCCCUCUUUCUGGCCCCUCUGUGGGCCCACUUCUCCGAGCGUGCUUCUAGAUGCGAAAUUAUUUAGAAAAAAUAUAUAUAUGACCCAAAACCGUCAGACCAAAAAAAUAUCGGGCUCUAAUUCUCCAUGGGAAGGUAAAAAUGGACUACGUCUAUUUCUUCAAAUUCCUCAUUGGGCUCUAAAAAUAAUUUAAGACGUUGACCAUUUACCUUGAAUAACGUACCUUCGCUGUUCUGAAGUGUGAUAGCUCCGUGGGAUGACGAAUUGAUUACCUUGAAUGGUCCUUCCCAUUUGCUCCGGAGUUUUCCAUGCCCGAAAAGCUUUACCCUGGAAUUAAAAAGUAAUAUCUUAUCUCCGGGUGUGAAUUCCUUCUUCUUGAUUCUCUUGUCAUGCCACCUCUUGACUCUUUCUUUGUAGAUCUUUGAAUUGUGAUAUGCCUUCUCUCGCCAUUCUUCCAAUUCUGAUAGUUGCAUUCUUCUAUAAUCUCCAGCAACAUCUAGGUCCAUAUUCCAUCUCUUUAUGGCCCAGUGUGCUUUGAAUUCUAGUUCAACAGGUAGAUGGCAAGUCUUCCCGUACACCAAUUGGUAUGGAGACAUCCCAAUUGGGGUCUUGUAUGCUGUCCGGUAUGCCCAGAGUGCAUCGGGUAACUUGUCUUUCCACGCCGUUCCCAUUUCAUUUACCGUCUUCUGAAGAAUAUUCUUGAUUUGUUUGUUGGAAGUCUCUGCUUGGCCACUUGUCUGAGGAUGAUAGGGGGUAGCGACGUUGUGACGGAUUCCAUGUCUUGAUAGAUAUUGCUUGAAGCGUUUGUCGAUGAAGUGUGCUCCUCCAUCACUUAUCACUACUCUGGGAACUCCAAAUCUUGGAAAUAUAAUUUCUUCAAACAUCCUCUUUGAACUGACGUUCUCGGCAUGCUUGCAAGGUAAUACCUCUACCCACUUGGAGACAUAGUCAACUGCCACCAAGAUAUACUCACACUUCUUUGAUGGAGGAAAUGGACCCAUGUAGUCUAUUCCCCAGACAUCAAAGAGCUCAAUCUGAAGGUUGUUGGUGAGUGGCAUUGCAUCCCUUGUAUUUAUGUUUCCGUGCCUUUGACAUGGCCCACAUCUUCUAAUAUAUUGCUUCGUGUCCUCAUACAUUGUAGGCCAAUAGAAUCCACACUGCCAGAUCUUUGAAUGUGUACGGAAUGCUCCAUAGUGACCUCCAUAUGGUGAUGAAUGACAUCUGUCGAUGAUCUUCCAUCCUUCCUCAGUGGUCACACAUCUCCUGAGUAAGCCAUCAGAGCAUACUCGGAAGAGGUAUGGCUCAUCCCAUAUAUGUGAACGACUUUCUUGAAUAAGCUUCUUCUUGUUUGCUCCUGGUGGUACAUACCCUGAAACCAUAAAAUUAACAAUAUCUGCAUACCAGGGGUCAGACCUGUUAAUCCCGUAGAGCAUGUCGUCCCGAAGUGAAUCAUUGAUGGGGGUUUCCAGUGGACUCUUAAAAUACAUUCUAGACAAGUGAUCAGCAAUAGAAUUUUCUACUCCUUUUUUAUCUUUUAUUUCUAAGUCUAAUUCUUGGAGUAAUAAGAUCCAUCUAAUCAGGCGAGGUUUAGCAUCUUUUUUAGUGAGCAAAUAUUUUAAUGCAGCAUGAUCAGUGUAAACAAUUAUUUUAGCUCCAACUAAAUAAGAUCUAAAUUUAUCAAUGGCAAAGACAACAGCUAGAAGCUCUUUUUCAGUGGUUGCAUAAUUAAGUUGAGCUCCUGUCAAAGUUUUACUGGCAUAAGCAAUUGCAUGAUGCUUCUUAUCUUUAGUUUGUCCCAAUACUGCCCCCACAGCAUAAUCACUAGCAUCACACAUAAUUUCAAAAGGCAACGACCAAUCAGGGGGUUGAAUGAUUGGUGCAGAGAUGAGUGCUUUCUUUAAUAAAUUGAAAGAUGUUAGACAUGCAUCAUCAAAUUCGAAAGGAGCAUCUUUGGCUAGCAAAAGAGUAAGUGGUCUAGCAAUAAAUGAAAAAUCUUUUAUGAAUCUACGAUAAAAACCAGCAUGGCCAAGAAAGCUUCGAAUUCCUUUUAUAUUCACGGGUGGAGGUAGUUGUUCAAUUACUUCAAUUUUAGCUUUGUCUACCUCAAUACCUCUUUCAGACACUAAGUGUCCUAGCACUAUUCCUUCUCUAACCAUAAAAUGACAUUUUUUCCAAUUAAGGAUUAAGUGCUUUUCUUCACAUCUUUGCAAAACCUUGUCUAAGUUUUCAAGACAACUAUCAAAAGUUUUUCCAUAAACAGAGAAAUCAUCCAUGAAAACUUCCAUAAUCUCUUCAAUCAUAUCAGAAAAUAUAGACAUCAUGCAUCUUUGAAAAGAAGCUGGUGCAUUACAUAACCCGAAAGACAUUCUACGAUAAGCAUAAGUUCCAUAUGGGCAUGUAAAAGUGGUUUUGCUUUGAUCAUCGGGAUGGAUCGGGAUUUGAUGAUACCCUGAAUAUCCAUCUAAGAAACAGAAGAAUGAAUGGUUUGCUAACCGCUCUAGCAUCUCAUCUAUAAAAGGUAAAGGAAAGUGAUCCUUUCUCGUGGCUCUGUUUAAUUUUCUAUAGUCUAUGCACAUCCGCCAUCCUGUGACGGUGCGUUGCGGAAUUAGCUCAUUCUUUUCAUUCAUAAUAACUGUCAUGCCUCCCUUUUUAGGCACAACUUGCACUGGGCUUACCCACUCACUGUGCGGCACAGGAUAUAUAAUCCCUGCAUGCAGCAACUUUAUAACUUCCUUUUUAACUACCUCUCUCAUAGUGUUGUUAAGUCUACGUUGGGGUUCUCGAGAGGGUGUAACAGAAGGAUCUGUUGGAAUACGAUGGGUACAAAUCAUAGGACUGAUUCCUGUAAGAUCUUGAAGUGAGUAGCCGAAAACUGAUUGAUGUUUCUCAAGAAUGGUCAUUAAUCGCAGAGUUUGAUCCUGAGUGAGUUUAUCGCUAAUGAUCACAGGGAACUCUGGAUUAUUGUUUAGGAAAGCAUAGGUAAGACCGGGUGGUAAAGUCUUGAGCUCUAUAGGAGGUCUAGGUGUUUCUGCAAACUCAACUAAGGGUUCAGGCUCAGAAGGUUCGUCUUCUUCUUCUGUGAAGAAAGGAGUUUCGUCUUCUAAGUCUGGUUCAUCUAAAAGCUCUAGAGAUGCAGCCUUUACCUCCUCCAUAGGAUCAGGCAAAAGAUAUGACUCGGCCUUAUUAUUUAAGGAGUGUGAAAUUAUUAUUGGGAAUUGAAAAGUUUUUCCAAAAGAAAUGUGUAGCUUUCCAGUAUGACCUUCAUAAAGGAGUCUUCUAAAAGGUUGUCCUAUCAACAGGUCGAAGUCCCAUGUAUCAAAGAUAUAGAAGUUCAAAUGAACCAUGGAGCCUUCUACUGUAAGAGGUAGGACAUUAAUAAUUCCAAGACUGGGGACUAAUCGUCCCGAAGAUUCCUUUAUGACCUUUGUUGUGGGGGUUAAGAUAAGAUUUUUAAAUAGUUUAAGUGCAAAGGAUUCAGACAUAAUGUUGAUCCCCACAACAGGAUUAUAAAGAGCAUUAAAUCGAUCAGAAUUAUAAGCACAACGUAUAGUUAUAGAGGGUGUGUCCAAUCGGAUCACAUCAGAGGAAAGCUCUGAUUCCUCCAACCAUUCGCUACUCAUUACUGAGAUAAGCUCUCUCAAUUGAUAUUCACUUGGUAAAUAAAUGCUAAACUGGCCGUUUUGGGGUUUGUCAAUAGAAUGGUAAUUUGAAAUAUUUCCAAAAUCGGCAAAAAGAUCGGACUCUAUAUCCAGCAUGAAGUCCGGUAGUGGAAUUUCUUCCUCUUGUGGCUCAGAACUUGGGAUAGCUAAAGUAGAAGAAUUUGGCAGAGUGUCUACUUCGGCUUCGUAGGUUUCAUCAUGAAGGGUAUUAUCCAUCUCAGCUUCUAGGAUUCUAUCUAGGAUCACUCUAGCUUCAUCAGCAGGGAUGCGAAAGAAAGAACCUCUAGACAUAGUGUGCAGCAUUUGUUUGUGAUUUUUAUGAAGACCUCGAAAAAAGUGAAAUAAAAGAACAGGGUCUUCAAGAUUAAGGUUUGGACCAGAUUCUAAAAGAUCAGAAAAACGUUUCUAGGAUUUUCCCAAAGUUUCAUUAUCUUUUUGUUUAAAAGAUAGGACUUCGAGUCUAAGGUCGGCUAUACGGUCAAGGGAAUAGAAAUCUAGACAAAAGUUGGCUCGUAAAACUCCCCAUUCACCUUGUUGUUGACUUACCUUCUGACUGUACCAUUGUCUAGCUUCUCCCCUUAGAGAAAAAGGAAAAAGCUUCCAACGUAAAGUCUUAUCAGAAAUGCCUUCAAUGCGAAGACAAUCACAUGUUUGCUCAAAAUCUCUAAUAUGAAGGUAAGGGUUUUCGUCUUCCUUUCCCGAAAAAGAUAGGUUUGAAUCAUGGCAAUCAACCUAGAACUUAACUUAUACUGGGGUGUUUGGAUAGGCUGUGAUGAUUCCCAUGGUAAAAGGUCAGUUGCUAAAGGGAUUGCAGACUCAUGGAUCGAUUUAGAAUUUUGGUUUUCCAUAAGGUAAGAGUAAAGGAAAAUAAAUAAAGAAUAAAAGAUAAGAAAAGAUAAAAGUAUAGAUAAAAGCUAAUAGCAAGACACAGGUUAUCUCAGCAACCGUCUUUCUCCCCGGCAACGGCGCCAGAAAUGCUAGUUGAUAUUUGGGAACGCAAUAAGGAAUUGAUCCGCAAGCGCACGAAUAUCGGUGAGCAUUUCACCCGGGAAAUUAUCCAGAGUAUCGUAUUUAUUUUUUUACCUCUAGGAGAAAGAGUGCAUCUGACUAACCGGUCUAUUACUACUAACCUUUAGGCACAAAGAAUGUCUUUCGAUGUGAGUGAUAAAUAGAGAAGACUGCAACCGUAGUCUCCUUCUAACCUUGGUAAGGAUGAUCUAUUGUUCUAAUGGGGAGCCUAACGGAAUCUAGACAACACAAAGGAUGUUCGACCCGCACCUAUAAACCCUAUCCUUCCUGCUAACGAGAUGUGAUCUACAAAGGUAGCUCGGAAUUGUCACGUUCCUCACUACUACCACGGUCCAGCUAGUCAGGGAAUAUCUAUGAGUACCCCAGCCUAAACACCACGUUUACGCCAGCAAUGAUUACUCUAAACUCUAUGCGAAGAGAUUAAAGUAAACUCAUAAACCAUAAGAACAAUAAAACAAGAACUUACUAGAAUUUAGAAGUCGAAUUACUGAAGAAUCCUAGGAGCAAGCUUCGGGUUAGGAGAACUUGAUCCCGCAGGUACAAGCUUGGAGUAGACACCGACAGGCCGGGCUUCCUCCACUCUACACCUCCACUCUAUAUCUCUCAAUCUAGUAGAAACUAGAAGAUCUAUUUCUACCUUACAUUGAUUGCUAAGCCUAAAAAGAAAUAUUAAUUAGAGAAGAGGUUUUCCUUCGAGGGCACCCCUCAGUCUCUAUGAUAAUUUCUUCAUGUCCUCUAGAGCCUCGCUUAUAUAGUCCUCCCCUUCUAUGCGUUUUUGGGUCGAUAGUCGAGGUGGUACUAUGUUUUUCUUGAUCCAAUAGGUCGGUGGAAUAUCCCGAGCGAAGGAGUCCUGAAUUGGCUCCAACAGGGGCGCGGGCGCCCUGGGCCUGGCCUAGCUUUGCCUCCGCUUCGGUCUCGUGGCUUCUGGAGUCUUCUAGAUGAUGUAAAAUUGCGCGGUGCGUUGAUAUCUCUAUGUAAUCCCGACAUGUGGGCCUUUCUUCCUUAUUUCCUGAUAACCCCCUGCAGAAAUAGAUAAACAACAAAACUCGUGGAAUUCUGUCAGAUCAAACCCUAAUUCUAGGUGAUGGUUGCAUAUUGGUCCUUUCUCUUGUUUAUUUGAUAAUUAAAAUUGAUACUUUAGAACCAUCAACAACUAUCACUAUCAUGUUCAUGUUCACUUUCACUUUCACUCUCAUCAUAUUGUACCUUGUGGCCCUUGGCCAUGAAGCAUGAAGGAGUGUCGAAGAGUGAUGGCUUGUUGUUGAUAGCAAAGCUAGCAAGUGCCUUCUUCUUGGAUGCUUUGUCAUCAUCACUUGAAUCAUCAUCUGAAGAGGCAUCACUAUCCCAUGUCACAACAUAGGAUCCACCCUUCUUCUUCUUCUUCUUGAAAACCAUCUUCUUCUCUUUCUUUUCUUUCUUCUCCUUCUUGUUCUUCUUCUCAUGCUCAUCAUGAUCACUAUUGUAAGGACAAUCCGCCACAAUAUGAUCGGGGCUCUUGCACUUGUAGCAUAGCCUCACAUACUCCUUGUUCUUGGAGUUGUCCCUUCUCUUUCUUGUAUGGUAGCCCUUCUUCUUCAUCAUCUUGCCAAACUUGCGGACAAAGAGUGCUAGUGCUUCAUCAUCACUAUCAUCAUUGGAGCACUCCUCAUCACUUGAUUCUUCCUUCUUGGCCUUGCCCUUGUUCUUGCUCUUGGAUGAAGAGCUAGCUUUGAAUGCUACACUCUUCUUCUUCUUAUCAUCAUCAUCCUUCGUCAUGACCUCAUCAUCAUCGUUGUUAUUGUAUUGAUCUUCGGUCAUGACAUCUCCAAGUACCUCAUUGGGAGAUACACCGGUCAAUCCACCUCUAAAGAUGAUUGUUCUCAAUGUCUUGAAUCUCUUGGGCAAGCACAUUAAGAACUUGUGAAUGAAAUCCUCAUCCUUCACUUUCUCACCAAGGCCCUUGAGAUCAUUGAUGAUGACUUGGAGCCUAUAGAACAUCUCCGGAAUUGACUCAUCAUCCUUCAUCUUGAAGUUUGAAAGCUUGUCCUUGAGCAUGUAUAACUUGGCACUUUUUACCGUUGUAGUGCCCUCAUAUGUUUCUUCUAGUCUUGUCCACACUUCACUUGCCUUCUCAAGAUCUUUGACUUGUUCAAAUACUUUUGAAUCAAUGCCAUUAUAGAUUGUGUUGAGAGCCAUAGUAUUGCAUUGCUUGUUGGCUCUCUCAUUGUCGGUGGGGUUAGCCGGAUCAAGAAUCACAAAGUCAUUUUCGGUAACUUCCCACACUCUAUCAUUUAUUGAUCCAAGAUACAUUUUCAUCUUUCUCUUCCAAUAGUCAAAAGAACUUGUGCCAUCAAAGAACGGUGGUUUGCCCCCAACAUGGUUGAACACUAUUUGAGCCAUAAUUUGAGCACCGAGGUUGUUAAGCCUUCACAAACGGUGACCACGGCUCUGAUACCACUUGAAAGGUCCUAAUAUGGCUAGAGGGGGGGUGAAUAGCCUAUUUAAAAAUUCUACAAACUCACUAGAGCAAGAGGUUAGUAAAUAACAAAGCGAAGCUUUUUGCUCUAGCUCUAAUGGGGUGUAUGCAAGCCACCUACCCAACAAUUCUAGUUGCUAUGAUCACUAUGCGCACAAGAACUAAGUCACUACUUACACUAGAAAGCUACCUAAAGUUUCUAUACAAGUAAGUAAGCUACUCUAGUUUGCGGGAAUGUAAAAGAGAUGGUUUGAACUUUAUACCGCUGCGUAGAGGGGAUGAACCAAUCAAUAAUAUGAAGUCCAAUCACCGGAAGAAAUCCAAUGAACAAUCACAAUGGAGACACACAAUUUUUCUCCCGAGGUUCACGUGCUUGCCGGCACGCUACGUCCCCGUUGUGUCGACCAACACUUGGUGGUUCGGUGGCUAAGAGGUGUAGCACGAACCUCGUCCUCACUAGGACACCACAAGAACCUACCCACAAGUGAGGUAGCUCAAUGACACGAGCAAUCCACUAAUGUUGCCUUUGGCACUCCGCCGAGGUAGGCACAAACCUCUCACAAUCACCGGGAGAUGGCCACGAACAAUCACCAACUCGUGCCAAUCCUCCUCCGCUGCUCCAAGCCGUCUAGGUGGCGGCAACCACCAAGAGUAACAAGAAAACCGCAGCUAAAACGAUCCCCAAGUGCCACUAGAUGCAAUCACUCAAGCAAAUGCACUUGGAAUCACUCCCAAUCUCACAAAGAUGUUUAAUCUAUGGAGGAGAUGAGUGGGAGGUGUUUGCUUAGGCUCACAAGGAUGUCAAGUAUGUUAGAAUGCCAAGAGAGUAAGCCCCAAGCCGGCCAAACAUGUAUUUAUAGCCCCUCAAACAAAUAGAGCCGUUGGCUCUUUCACUGGGCGAAAAACGGGGUCACCGGACGCUCUUAAAGGGGCACCGGACGCUCAGCCCUUGCGUCCGGUGCUCCAACGUCAGCCGCGUGUCAGAGUCUAACGGUAACCUGCAGAGCACCGGACGCUUGAGCAAGUUAGCACCGGACGCGUCCGGUGCACACCGGACUCAUGCGCAGAGAGCUCCGUAAACUCGUAGGGUCACCGGACGCAAGCCACCGGACGCACCCUUAGCGUCCGGUGCUCACCGGACCCAUGCGCAGAGAGGGUCGCCAAGACACCCGCACACCGGACGCGCACCACCGGACGCUCAAGCCAGCGUCCGGUGCCUUACCCUAGCUGGGCUAGGCACUGUCUGCACCGGACGCUCAGACUUAGCGUCCGGUGCCUCAGUGGCCAGCGUCCGGUGAGUGUUUUCUCAGCGAGAAACACUCCCACGACUUCUCCAAAAUUUCCCACCGGCGCAAUAGAAAAUAUGCACUUCAUUUUCUCGAAAAGCGCCGAAUCCUGCCUCGCAAGCUCGGCGGGAGGGAGAGAGGAACCCAUCCCCUCUCUACCCUUGAAACUCGACCUCCUUCUCAAAGUGUGCCAACACCACAACGUGUGUACCAACGAGCGUGCACGUGUGUUAGCAUUUUCACAAUCAUUUUCUUUGAAGGAGUUAAGUUAGCUCACUAGGUUCUAAAUGCAUGCACAUGAACAAUGACACCUAGUGGCACUUGAUAACCGCUUAGCCAAAGAAUUCCCCUCUUUAUAGUACGGCUAUCUAUCCUAAAUGUGAUCACACCCUCUAUGGUGUCUUGAUCACCAAAACCAAAACCCUAAGCAAUACCUUUGCCUUGAUCUCCAAAGGGUUUUGUUUUUCUCUUUCUUCUUUUCCAAGUUGAGCACUUGAUCAUCUUGUGGUCAUCACCAUCAUCACCAUGAUCAUUACUUGCUCCAUCACUUGGCAUGUACCAACCUCAUUAAGUCUACACACACUUAGUAUAGAGGUUAGUACUAGGGUUUUAUCAAUUAUCCAAAACCAAACUAGGGCUUUCAGCCAUCUAGGGCAUCGGGAAACACCCAAGAGUAACAAGAAAUCCGCAGCAAACUCACGAAUCAAGUGCCACUAAAUGCAACUCUCAAAGCAAUGCACUUGAAUCUCACUCAAUCUCACUAGGAUUAGCAAUCAGGCAAGGAGAUGAGUGGAGGGAGUGUUCUCUAGCUCAAAGUAUGCCUCAAGUAAUCAAAUGUGCAAGAGAGAACCCCCAAAAGCCGGCCACCAACUAUUUAUAAGCCCCUCGAAGAAACUAGCCGUUGGCUGUUUUCACUAGGCUAAAAACGGGGGCACCGGACGCUACUAAGUGAGCACCGGACGCUCGACUCCCUGCGUCCGGUGCACUGGAGUUGGCCACGUGUCCGUCCUGAAUCUCGCGUGUCAGAUCCUAACGGUCACCUGCGGAUCACCGGACGCUCUGCAGGUUUACACCGGACGCGUCCGGUGCACACCGGACUCAUGCGCAGAGAGUUUGUCAAACUCGUGACCUCACCGGACGCUGGGCACCGGACGGUCCGGUGCUCACCGGACUCGUACGCAGAGAGGGUUGCAAAAACCCCUCACACCGGACGCUACCAGAGUGCGUCCGGUGCUCAACCCUAGCAGAGUCAAGCUCUGACAGCACACCGGACGCUCGGGCCAGCGUCCGGUGCCUCCGCACUGAGCGUCCGGUGAGUGUUUCCAACUGAGAAACACUUCCGCGACUUCUUCAAAUUUCCCACCGGCGCAAUAGAAAAUAUACACUUAAUUUUCUCAAAAGCGCCGAAUCCCGCCUCGCAAGCUCGGAGGGAGGGAGAGAGGAACCCACACCCCUCUCAACCCUAGGAAAAACACCUCCUUUGCAAAAGUGCUAACACCAACAAGUGUCCACCACCAAAGUGCAAGUGUGUUAGCUUUUCACAAACAUUUUCACCAAGGGAGUUAAGUUAGCACUUUACUAGAUCCUAAUGCAUAUGCUCAAGAUAUGGACCUAGUAGCACUUGAUUCGAGAGAUGACCGUGAUUUCCCCUCUUGAUAGUCGGCUAUUUAUCCUAAACCUGGUCAAUCACUUCUCUACUCAUCUUAGACCGGCAAAAGUAAAACCCUAUAUUUAUACCUUUGCCUUGUUCACUUUCUCCCUUGUCUGUCAUCAUGAUCUCCACAUCAUGCUUCAUCUCUUUGUAUUCAUGUGGCCACCUUUCCAUGCCACCAUGCACCUUCAUCACAUGUGUUGCUAUGCCUAACUCAAAUCACUUAAACACAAGGCAUUAGCAACUUGGUGUCAUUAAUUACCAAAACCAAACUUGGGCUUUCAAUCUCCCCCUUUUUGGUAAUUGAUGACAACCAUCACAAAGAUAUGAAAUGAAAUCAUAAUGAACUUGAAUUGCUUGUCCAAAGCAUUUUAAUCAUGAGACAAGGUUGGACAAACAUUUCAAUUUUGGUUUUGGUAGUACUAGCUCCCCCUACAUAUGUGCUUCCAUGAGUUUGGUUCAAGUUUGCACAUAUGCAUAAAUUAGAGUUUUGGGAGAUUUAUUACUACCAAAAUUAUGCUAAGGUAUAUAGAAUGGACCUUUGAAGCGUGAUACCAAUCGGAGUUGCCAAUAUACCAUCCUUAGCACCAAUGUAGCUAGACAUACAUCAAAAACUCAAUAUACCUCGUGAGAUCACAUUAUAUGUCUAGAUACCACAAGAAAAUAAAACUCUAUGCUAGAAUUCAAAACAUCAUUCAAGUUCUAUUUCUAGCAAGCACCAAUCAAACAAGAGUCGUGAAUUUAAAUUUGCAAUGCAACAACUCAUUAUGUUAGUGCACAUACAAAUGCAACAAAUGGUUCAUGAGCUUGCUCCCCCUAUUUGUGUGCUCAAGCUUAAAAAGUUUAAAAAGUUUUCUCUCCUUUUUUUUGUUUAUCUCCCUCUUUUUGACUUUAUCUUUGUUUCUCUCCCCCUUUGUCAUCAAUGACCACAAAGGUUCAAAAUUUUAGUGAGAAUUAAGUCAAUCAAUGUGAGGGUCAAAUUAUGGUUCAAUCUAGAUCACUUGCCUAGAACAUGUAAUUCGGUUUGAUCCAAGGACAAGCUUUUUCACACCUCAUAAAGUAUAAGGGUUAUCUUGACCAUGUUGAAUUACACAUCAUAAGCUCAUAUUCUAGAUUCAACGCUAGGCUUGCAAGCUCACAAACAUGUCAUAUGCUACCACUAGAUCAAUCAAUCAUAGAAGCAAUAGUGGUACCAUACAUACAUCAAAAUAUUUUUUUUUUCAUGAAUGAGCCUAUUUGUCAUGCAAAUAUGUCUAUAUGUUCUAAUCAUGUCCUUAGCAAAGUAUGAAUGAUAUGUCAACCAACUUUACCUUGCUUUGUUGGAGGAGAGGCAUGUCAUAUAUAAAUGUGGGGGCGCACUCAUCUCAAGUUGGAGAAGUCAAGUAUGUUCAAUUCAUUUCUUAACUUCCAAAAUCUCUUCUCAUCAAGUGGCUUCGUGAAGAUGUCGGCUAAUUGAUCUUCGGUCCCAAUGCUUUCAAUGCUAAUAUCACCCUUUUGUUGAUGAUCUCUUAUGAAAUGAUGCCUUAUGUCAAUGUGCUUGGUUCUUGAAUGUUGAACCGGAUUUUGUGUCAUUUUGAUUGCACUCUCAUUGUCACAUAGCAAAGGCACAUUCUUGAAUUUAAUUCCAAAGUCAUUCAAGGUAGCUUUAAUCCAAAGUAAUUGUGCACAACAACUACCGGCACUAAUGUAUUCGGCCUCGGCGGUUGAUAGUGCAACACUAUUUUGUUUCUUUGAUGACCAUGAAACUAGAGACCUUCCCAGCAAUUGACAAGUGUCACUUGUGCUCAUUCUAUCAAUCUUGUAUCCACCAUAGUCGGAGUCCGAAUAUCCAAUUAACUCAAAGUUAGACCCCUUGGGAUACCAUAAUCCAACAUCAUGAGUGCCUUUAAGAUACCUCAAUAUCCUCUUUGUUGCCUUCAAGUGACUUCCCUAGGUGAAGCUUGGUAUCUUGCACACUUGCACACACUAAACAUCACAUCCGGCCUUGAUGCGGUGACAUAGAGCAAACUUCCAAUCAUGGACCGAUAUAGCUUUUGAUCUACCAUGUUGCCACUUGCAUCACUAUCUAAUUGAUCAUUUGUGCCCAUAGGUGUGCUCAUUGGUUUAGCUUCUUGCAACCCAAACUUCUUGAUCAUGUCCUUGAUGUACUUUCCUUGACUUACAAAAGUGCCAUUCUUCAUUUGCUUGAUUUGAAGACCAAGGAAGUAACUAAGCUCUCCAAUCAUGGACAUCUCAAAUUCAUUUGCCAUCAUUUUUCCAAACUCUUCACAAAAGUCUUGAUUGGUUGAUCCAAAGAUGAUAUCAUCAACAUAGAUUUGCAACACAAACAAGUCAUUGCCUAGCUUCUUGGUGAAGAGGGUAGUGUCAACCUUUCCCAUCUUGAACCGUUUAGAGAGAAGGAAAUCUCUCAAUCUCUCAUACCAUGCUCUAGGUGCUUGCUUCAAACCAUACAAUGCCUUCUUGAGCUUGUAAACAUGGUUGGGUUUCUUGUCAUCUUCAAAACCGGGAGGUUGUUCAACAUAAACCAACUCAUUGAUGUAUCCAUUGAGAAAUGCACUCUUCACAUCCAUUUGAUAGAGCUUGAUGUUGUGGGCACAAGCAUAGGCUAAUAAUAUUCUAAUUACCUCCAAUCUUGCAACCGGUGCAUAUGUUUCUCCAAAGUCAAGACCUUCAACUUUAGUGUAGCCUUGUGCUACUAGUCUUGCUUUGUUUCUCACAACUACACCAUCUUGAUCUUGCUUGUUUCUAAAGACCCACUUGGUACCAAUCACAUUGUAGUUCUUUGGCCUCUCAACAAACUCCCACACUUGAUUUCUUGUGAAGUUGUUCAAUUCUUCAUGCAUGGCAUUUACCCAAUCAGAAUCUUUCAAUGCAUCUUCUAUCUUCUUUGGUUCCUCAAAUGAGACAAAUGAAUAGUGCUCACAAAAGGAAGCUAGCCUUGAUCUUGUUUGCACACCACUUUGAAUACCUCCAAUGACUUGAUCCAAUGGAUGAUCCCUUGCUAUACUAGUAGGUUGGAGUAUUGGGAGUUGAUUGCUUCCACUAGCUUGAUUUUGAUCUUGAUCAUCAUCAUGAGAGCCACUAGUACUAGCUUGAUUUGUAUCAAUUUGCACUUCUUGAUUGAUCAUGUGAAUGUCAUUAUCAUCAUCAACUUGCAUUGGCCUUAUGUCACCUACAUCCAUGUUCUUCAUUGCAUUAGCCAAUUGAUCUCCUCUCACAUCAUCAAGAUUUUGAACUUCAUUUUUAGAUCCCUCGGUUUCAUCAAACUCCACAUCAUGGACUUCUUCCAAUGUGCCACUUGCCAAGUUCCAAACUCGAUAUGCCUUGCUUGUGGUGGAAUAACCAAGUAAGAACCCUUCAUCACAUUUCUUCUCAAACUUGCUCAAUCUAGUGCCUUUCUUGAGAAUGUAGCAUUUGCAACCAAACACUCUAAAGUAUGCAAUGUUGGGCUUUCUUCCAUUCAAUAGCUCGUAUGGUGUCUUCCCAAGCUUCCCAUGGCAAUAGAGACGGUUGCUGUUGACACUUCUUAACGCAACCACCGGAUAUCGGCGACGGCGCCAGAAGUGCCCUGGUAGGGUAACUCUAUUUACUAUUGGAUAAUUCCGCAAGCGCACAGAAUGUACCGCUGUAGCACUUCACCAAGGAGUAUUCCAAGGUAUCGUAAUUUAUAUUUUCCCAAGGGAAAGCGGCUAAGUGUGUUUAACAAAAAGGGGAAUGAGAUUCCUUGAGUUGUCUAGUAUCAACUAGUGAAUAAGGGUGGUAAAUAACGAAUAGGAAGGGUAGUGGUGAAUCCAAGGUCCUAUGCUAAAGGUAAAUGGUAGAGUUAGCUAGGUGGGAGGACAACGAGUGAGUAAAGGACUCCUAUGUAUCUAACUUGACUUCUGUGACUUACUUUAAUAGAUAAUUGUCUUAACUACGCUAGAGCCUUACUAACUGUGUGCGAGGGAUAGCCGAGCUGGUAAGACGCUUAGAAGGUUUUUCACCUAACCCCUUACCGAAAGCGACUAUUGGGCUUAUGGACGCCUUACCUUUUAAGAACUAGCCUGUACGUGAGGAGAACCUAAUGCCGCCCACGAUCUGUCACCUACUAGGGAGUGCGCUCCUACUUUCCGUUCAAGCCAGCGGUAAUCAAAGGUAAUCUUAAGUAUGAGCACCACGCUCACACUUAAUCCUACAACGCUAACUAGUUGCAGCUAGCUAGAGCUCCUAUACAAGAUAGGACGAUGAUGCACACACAGGAGUGGUUACAGGUCACUAACUUCACUAAGACAACUAUAUUACUAAAGUAAAUGCACAACAAGACUAAAAGACUUGCACUAAGUAAGAACUCAGUAAAGUAAAGUAAGAAUAAUAUAUUAAUAAAAGGAAAGUCUUACAAAAGUAGAAAGGUACAAGAGCUAUACCAGACUCUCCAGAAGACGACUCCGGAGACCCCGAGCUUCGCUCGACUCGACUCUAACUCCCACUCUAGACUAACUACUACUCUACUUGUAUGCUUGGAACUUGUAAUGCACUUGGCCUUGGAAUUGCACACUUAAAAUGAAGGAUGGAGGCUGCCUUUUAUAGAGGGAGAUGGAGUAGGGGUUACUCCAUCGCCACGUCAUCGAUCCGCGUGACAUCUUCUCUCCACCCUUGGAUCAAACCGACCUCACAACCGCCAUUUGAUCAACGGCAGGGGCAAAUCAACAUGUGGGACAUGUGGGGAAGGUCGGUGGGAGGCCACCGACCCUGGAACCGCCUUUGAUGUGGGGUCGGGCGACCCCACUUCUGGGCCUCUGGGCCCACCAGCAGUGUCCACAGGGGUCCCUUAUGUCGGUGGACUAGGUGGCACACCUGGGUCCCACCAAAGAGGGGUCGGGCGACCCCCUCCCUGUGGGCCCAGGGUGUCACCUGUUGUCCCCUCGAUCUCCUCUUGAUGAUUCUGAUGUUGGCUUUGUCAAAUAAUGUCUUGAAUUUGUUGUUCCUGCAUAAACAAGCUAAGAGUACAAGUGGAACUAGUUAUGGAUAAAAUAUGUUCAUGUCAUGUCGUUUCCUCUUGCAACCGAGGCAUGUUGACGGUGUUUUGUAUGUGGAUUUCUAUGGUAUAUCCACCGUCAACAAGAUCCCCCAAGCUUAACCUUUGCUCGUCCAGAGCAAACAAUCAAACUUAGCCUCGGUGGAUCAGGUAUUGUUACUAUGUUCACAUUUCAAGAGUACCAUGUGUACAACAAAGUUCUUCUCUUUGCAUGAAAAAUUUAGCUAUGUAAACUUACCCCUAUUACCUUAGUCCCUUAUGGGGCUUAUGGCUUUUCCUUUGUCUUAGGUGGUUGAGAGACGGAACAGUUUGACUUGAGCACUAACUUUCUCAUUCUUAGCAAGUUUCAUAUCAGAGGUUUUGUGAUAUUUUCAAAAGAAAGUUUAAAUGUUCCUCUUAUGGUUCUCUCAUGUCACUCAAAUGGUGUAUGAUUCCUCACCAAGGCAUAUGGUAAGAGUUGCCUUCUCUAUUUCAUCCUAUUUCUAAAAGGCUUAUGUGGAGUUCAAGGUAGGGAUGAAAGGAGAUAGCAUACUUACUUUGCAUGUAUUGCGAAGUCAAAGCUCGGAUCCUUGAAGAGAAGUGUCAUACUCCCAGAUCAAGAUGUGCAAGUGUGAUAUAUGGUGGACUAGGUUGCUCCUUUAUUUGAUAGACUCUCUAUGUAUUGAGACAUGGCUAGCAUUUUUUUUCUUCUUUUUUUUUUAUAUAUGAGCUUUCAUGUGCUCAAUUUUCUUUUUCUGUGGACUUGCACAUGUCCAUCUUUUUAUUUCAUUUUGCCUAGCCUUUUGAUGUCUCAUUUACCAAAUAAUGCUUAGAGAGAUGUUCUAACAUUUAGAGUAUGGAGCAACCUAUUUAGUGGAUGCGAAAUACAUGUGGUUGCGUACUUCCAGUGUAGAAGCAGCAUAUAUAUAUAUGUGGUGUGUACGUGAUCUUGAUCUUAGGAGCAUGAAAAAGUCUCUUAACAAGGGUCAACAAGACUUGACGACACUCAACACAAAGCAAAUAGCUUAUGUGGAAAGGUUGCAAUUAUGUAAAGUAGAUAUGGCUGUGGUAGGAAUUCAUCACCAUUGAGGAACAAUUAAGGUUUUGAUCAUUUUAAGAAUAAAUCUCUGAUAAUCAUGCAUGCUUAGAAAAAUAUUAUAGUAGCUCUUGUCUUACUAUCUCAUGUCCCACAACAACUUAGACUUAGUUCUAGCACUUGCAACCCACAAAGUUUUUAGGUUCAUGGCAGUUUAAGUGAGCUAAGUGAUCCAUACUUAGAGAAAUACUAAGUUGUAUACUAGGCACUAGAGAAACAUUAACAAGCAACUAGUCAUAAUUUCCAUGAGGGAUAUAAACAUACAUGAAGCAUAUAUGCUAAAGGGAAAUGCUAAUAAAUAUUUUUUUUAAGUAAGAAUGAUAAAAUGCAUGAAAAUAAAUAGGAUAGAAUACUUACCUUAGUGGGGGAGAGGAUCUCCCCCAAGCUAGAUCUUCGCUCACUGUGGUGGCGGGAAAUUUUGGUACCAUCCAGCCCAGCGUUGUGCGUCUUCCUCUCGCACACGUCGGAUAUGUUGGCCGUUUUGUAACGCCAGUUGCAAUGUUGCUUCUUGCCCAAUCUGCAAUUCGCCCAUGUCAUUAAUGAGACUGUCCAUACCUGUGGGCUGGUGACGCCUAGCCCUGUCCCUUGGGCGUGGAGUGCGUUGUGGAGGUAGACCCAUGGAGUCUGAAGCAUCCACUGACAUCGCUCCAUCGCCCUCUUCAACGUCAUGGUGCGAGGAUCCUCCUUGCUCCAUCUGGGCGGCUUGCAUCAUCCUUCUUGUCACCCUGCGUGUCCCUGCAAUAUCUGGACUUGCCACUCGGGCUAGUCUAAUGGUAAGUGUGCGGACCCCAUACAACCGGCGCCUCGCACAUGGGAGAGGAAUUUCGGUUGUAUAGCCCGGAUAAAUCAUUUUAAGUUCACCAUUUGGAUCUCUUAUGAGCAUGUUAGCAUUGAUAAAGAAGUUCUCAUCUACCACUCCUCUAACAUAGCCAAUGUCUUCAAAAUAAUGUGAUUCAAGUAAUCCAAAAGUAUCGGCUAUUCGAGUAAUAAAGGAUGUGAAAUAGAUGGGCUUCCCAUACUCAAUAGAGUUAAGCCAAUAGUUCACUAGCAGUUUCACAGGGGAGACCUUGAUUUUACUAACCAUGGCAUAGAGAAUUUUAAGUUCAUCAUCAAUUAAAGUAUCAGUUCCCAUGCCAGGAUAUAGAGUGCACAUGAUCCAGAAGUGAAGAAAGCGCAAGGUUGGAUUAUGGAUUUCAAUGGGAGUAGGAUUUGAACAAUCAUUAGAGCCAGAAAUUGCUUUCCAAAAUCUAAAUUUAUCGAACAUUCUAGUGGCAUGAUCUAGAUCAAGUUCACAUUCAUGUUCACACCCUAAAGCAGUGUUUAGCAAACUCCAAUUUAAUUGAUGUUCUUGCUCACACAUGCGAAAAGAUAUUCCAUUAUUUGUGAGUUUUAGGGUGCAUAGAAAUUCCUUAGCAAGCAAUUCUUUUCCAAAUUCAGGCACUUGCCAAAAACUACUCCAACCAAUUGCUCUAAACACCUUAUCGAAUUCAACAUCCAUACCUGUGCGGGCCAAAAGGUCCGGAUCGAUGAUGCUAGUGUGUAGGAAGAGACCCUCUCGGAUGAUGUAGUACCUUUGCAACUCUUCUUGGCUUAACAUGAGGCCGCUCUCGGGCUCUCUCAUCCUUGAUGGAGGCUCGUAGGGUACCAUCCCAUGGUAACCUUCUUCUUCCUUCCUUCCAUGAGCAUGGUGAGAGCCUUGAGAAGAGCUCUCACCCUUUGCUUUCUUGAACUUGCCGAAGAUAUGCUUCUUCAUCCUCCUACACAAGUGAGGCAAACCAAGCUCCUACUACUACUACUAUGCAAGGGGAAUCUUUUUGGGUUUUUGUUUUGAUGACUAUUUCUAAACUAAACUUGAGAAAUGGCUUGUAACAAAGAGAGAAGAGAAAGGAUUGUGAGCUCGAAAUGGUUCUGGUGGUUUUGGGUGUGGAGUUGAGCUCACAAUGCUGUGGUAUUUAUAGGGGGAGAAGGGCAAGUAGUGGACCCACAAUAUAGGGGUCGGCCGACCCCCCCUAGAAGCACUUUGAAUUUGAGUUUAGCUUUAUACAGGGAACCAUUCUGCAUGCUUUCAAGAUUUUGCAGAGAUGGUCCAAAAUGGGGGUCGGCCGACCCCCAUCCUAGCCCCUCCUCCACUUUAAACAUUGUGUCAUUGAUUGUCCGGAAAAGUAAAGGCUAGGUGUGGACCAAAAGUUUUCAAAUUGUUUCUGAGAUUCCCUGUUUUAGUGCUUUGUGAAAGGUAAAAGAUGAAUGGCAAAAGUGGAGACAUGUCUAAAGUGAUUCCUAUGGACCAUGGGAGCACUCAAGCAUGCCUAGGUGACCACUUUGCAGAAUUUAAGCUAGUGGAGUGGUCCCAAAAGAAUCAAAGAUGAAAGGAGCAUCUUAUGACUAAAGUAAAGGAUCAAGGGACCACUCUUUUUCAAACUUUAGCUAGUGUUACAAGCAUAGGACUCCAUUGUGAUUCAAAUGGUGGCCAGCAGGAGGCAAGUGGGGCCAAUAUGGGGGUCGGCCGACCCCCACAUUGGAGCUCCCAGAGCAUCCAAGUGCUGGGUUGGAACCUCUAUGACUAGCAAGGUUGAAAUGUGGUGAAGUGGGCCCCAAGGUGGGGUCGGGCGACCCCCCUUUGGGAGCUCCAGCAGCUCAAAUUUUUAUGACAAGUUAUUCUCAAGAUUUUAUUUAUUAUGGCUAAACAUUUUGUCGAAAUAAGAUAUGCAAAAUUCAAAGUAAGAAAGCAAUUGAAAAGUGAAUAGUAGAAAUUGAAAUGCAGAAAAUAAAUAUGGGAUAACUACUGAUUUACCUUAUCAGCAAGGGCUCCAUGUUUUAGGUCCGUAGAGCAGGACCUCUCCAUCUUGUUCAUCCUUCGGGUGCAUCAGAUGGUCCCGGAGACGUGGACCUUGAUUGCACCUCUUUCUCCCGCCAUACUUGCUUGGUAUUGAUUUUUGGUUCAGCGGGUUCCUCUUCUUUCUUUUCGGCCCUUUUGGCCGACUUACCUCUCUUGUCCCUUCGGCGUCGGAUGUGGCGAGGCUUAGUCGGAGGUUCUUUGUCCUUCACCUGCAUGUUAGCUUUAUAACCAUUGAAUGGACAUUUUACCUUCCAUCCUGGGAAUUGGAGGUGAAUCUGGCCGGACCCCACAUAGAUGACUGCAUUGACCGUGUUGAGGAAUGGCCUUCCCAAGAUGAUCGAGACAUCAUUAUUGGAUCCCAUAUCUAGAAUGAUGAAGUCGGCAGGGACGUAGUCGUCUUGAACUUUUACCAGUAUGUCCCUUGCCAACCCCUCAGGGAACCUGAUCGUCUGAUCUGCCAUCUGCAAACGAACAAAUGUGGGGUGCAAAGGCCCCCCUAGCAAAUUAUCAUAAGUUACCUUGGCCAUGAUGUUGACACCCGAUCCAAGGUCGCAGAAGGCGUUGUGGAAGAUUUGCGGUCCGAUCUCACAGGUGAUGGUCGGCAGGCCUGGGUCGUCCUUCUUGGUGAUGAAGGGCGAAUCCAGAAGAUAGCUCCAGUUGGAUUGUACCGGAGGCUUACCGAACCUCGUAGUAACUAGUUUAACUCCUUCAAUUGGGUCCUCAGGUUUCCCUGGGAUCUUACCUUGCUCGAAGGAUGGGACAGCUGCUGCUAAUUGAGCUAAUUGUGUUUCUAGCAUUUUGUUAAAGCUCAACUGAUUUUUCAUACCAGAGUUAAAGUUAUCCAACUUUUCACUUAAGUUUUCAAGGAUCUUAUCAUUAGCCAUCAUUUUCUUGUUAAUGCUAUCAUUGAUUUUAGAUUGGCCUAAGACAAGAUCUCUAAGAGAAGGUUAGUUACCAAAAGAAUUAUUGAAAUUUUGAUUGUAACCAUUACCUUGAUUACCUUGGUAGAAGGGGCGCGAGUUCCAUUGCUGUUGUUGGGGCCGGUACCCAUUGUUGUUGUUGUUGUUGAUGAAGCUCACUUCCUCCUUUGUUUCGGGACAAUUGUUUCCCGAAUGAUCAUCUCCUCCGCACACUUCGCACCAUGAAUCAGAUUCAAUGGCCCGUGCAGUGGCGUAAGGUUGAAUGGUCUCUUGCUUGGAACUUUCUUCCAUCUUCUUCAUUAAGAGGUUCAUCUUAGCAGAGAGCAUGUCCACCUCAUUCAAGGCAUGGACACCUCUUCUCUUGGGUUGGAGGCGUUCCUCAUUCCAUCCUUGGUUUAUAACCAUCUUUUCAAUGAGGUCCUUGGCAUCCUUGACAUUGUGUUGCAAGAAUGCUCCUCCAGCGGCAGCAUCAAGGUGACUACGGGCCAAACCGGUCAGGCCAUGGUAGAAACCUUGGAUUAGGAGCCACUCCUCUAUCCCAUGAUGAGGACAGGCGCGAAUGUACUCCUGCAGACGUUCCCAUGCUUCGGGAAUCGUCUCAUCUGCUUGCUGUUGGAAGCUGGAAAUCUUUCCACGAAGGGCGCUGGUCUUGCCCAUCGGAAAGAACUUCUUGAGAAAUGCAUUGGCGCACCUCUCCCACGUGGUCACUUCACCCUUGUUGGCGUAGAACCAUUGCUUCGCCUUCCCCAAUAACGAGAAUGGGAAGAGGCGAAGACGGAUGGCGUCUGCGGCGACAUUCUUGAUGGUGAAGGUGCCGCACACCUCCAAGAAGUGUUGGAGAUGGGCAUUGGCAUCCUCGUGUGGCUUUCCACAGAAGGGAUUAGCUUGCACCAUAUUGAUAAGCGCAGGCUUCAACUCAAAAGUCGCAUCCCCCAAGUUAAGCUGCGGACCCGUGGCGACAUUGUCAGCCGACGGCGCAGAGUACUCAGAGAUGGUCUUCUGGGCCAUAGCUUCUUUGAUAACCGGUGCAGAUACUCCUUCCUCUAACGGAUUCAGGUUCGAGAUGAACCUUUGAGGUGGAACUUGACGACGUCUAGUUCUCCUCAACAGUUGCUCAGGAUCUUCAACGAAGUUUGACGGCAAUUGGAAACCGCUCAUACACUGUCAGGCUUCACAAUAAAGGAAGACAAGACAAGUGAUGGGUUAUCCCUAUCACUACUUGAUAACUAGCAAACUCUGGAUUCUCUUUUUGUUAAAACUCUUAGACAGACGUUGUCCCCGGCAACGGCGCCAGAAAUGCUUGUUGACACUUCUUAACGCAACCACCGGAUAUCGGCGACGGCGCCAGAAGUGCCCUGGUAGGGUAACUCUAUUUACUAUUGGAUAAUUCCGCAAGCGCACAGAAUGUACCGCUGUAGCACUUCACCAAGGAGUAUUCCAAGGUAUCGUAAUUUAUAUUUUCCCAAGGGAAAGCGGCUAAGUGUGUUUAACAAAAAGGGGAAUGAGAUUCCUUGAGUUGUCUAGUAUCAACUAGUGAAUAAGGGUGGUAAAUAACGAAUAGGAAGGGUAGUGGUGAAUCCAAGGUCCUAUGCUAAAGGUAAAUGGUAGAGUUAGCUAGGUGGGAGGACAACGAGUGAGUAAAGGACUCCUAUGUAUCUAACUUGACUUCUGUGACUUACUUUAAUAGAUAAUUGUCUUAACUACGCUAGAGCCUUACUAACUGUGUGCGAGGGAUAGCCGAGCUGGUAAGACGCUUAGAAGGUUUUUCACCUAACCCCUUACCGAAAGCGACUAUUGGGCUUAUGGACGCCUUACCUUUUAAGAACUAGCCUGUACGUGAGGAGAACCUAAUGCCGCCCACGAUCUGUCACCUACUAGGGAGUGCGCUCCUACUUUCCGUUCAAGCCAGCGGUAAUCAAAGGUAAUCUUAAGUAUGAGCACCACGCUCACACUUAAUCCUACAACGCUAACUAGUUGCAGCUAGCUAGAGCUCCUAUACAAGAUAGGACGAUGAUGCACACACAGGAGUGGUUACAGGUCACUAACUUCACUAAGACAACUAUAUUACUAAAGUAAAUGCACAACAAGACUAAAAGACUUGCACUAAGUAAGAACUCAGUAAAGUAAAGUAAGAAUAAUAUAUUAAUAAAAGGAAAGUCUUACAAAAGUAGAAAGGUACAAGAGCUAUACCAGACUCUCCAGAAGACGACUCCGGAGACCCCGAGCUUCGCUCGACUCGACUCUAACUCCCACUCUAGACUAACUACUACUCUACUUGUAUGCUUGGAACUUGUAAUGCACUUGGCCUUGGAAUUGCACACUUGAAAUGAAGGAUGGAGGCUGCCUUUUAUAGAGGGAGAUGGAGUAGGGGUUACUCCAUCGCCACGUCAUCGAUCCGCGUGACAUCUUCUCUCCACCCUUGGAUCAAACCGACCUCACAACCGCCAUUUGAUCAACGGCAGGGGCAAAUCAACAUGUGGGACAUGUGGGGAAGGUCGGUGGGAGGCCACCGACCCUGGAACCGCCUUUGAUGUGGGGUCGGGCGACCCCACUUCUGGGCCUCUGGGCCCACCAGCAGUGUCCACAGGGGUCCCUUAUGUCGGUGGACUAGGUGGCACACCUGGGUCCCACCAAAGAGGGGUCGGGCGACCCCCUCCCUGUGGGCCCAGGGUGUCACCUGUUGUCCCCUCGAUCUCCUCUUGAUGAUUCUGAUGUUGGCUUUGUCAAAUAAUGUCUUGAAUUUGUUGUUCCUGCAUAAACAAGCUAAGAGUACAAGUGGAACUAGUUAUGGAUAAAAUAUGUUCAUGUCAUGUCGUUUCCUCUUGCAACCGAGGCAUGUUGACGGUGUUUUGUAUGUGGAUUUCUAUGGUAUAUCCACCGUCAACAGUUGCUACAAUAGCAAGCCGUGUUGAUGGCUUCACUCCAAAAUGAAUGGCUAAAAUUGUACUCACUAAGCAUUGAUCUAGCCAUAUCAAUCAAGGUUCUAUUCUUCCUUUCAACUACACCAUUGGAUUGAGGAGUGUAUGUUGGAGAGAAUUGAUGUCCAAUGCCAAGAUCAUCACAUAAUUCCUCAAUUCUUGUGUUCUUGAAUUCACUACCAUUGUCACUUCUAAUCUUCUUGAUAGUGGUUUCAAACUCAUUUUGCACCCUCUUGACAAAAGACUUGAAUAGAUCACAAACAUCACUCUUAUCAUAGAGGAAGAACACCCAAGUGUAUCUAGUGUAGUCAUCUACUAUCACAAAUCCAUACUUGUUGCCACCAAUGCUAGUAUAUGUUGUUGGCCCAAAUAAAUCCAUGUGCAAAAGCUCAAAUGCCUUUGAUGUGCUCAUUUCACUUUUCUUAGGAUGUGCAUUUCCAACUUGCUUUCCGGCUUUACAAGCACUACAUGGUUUAUCCUUCUCAAAGGUGACAUCCUUCAAGCCUCUAACUAAGUCAUGCCUCAAUAGUUUGUUCAAUUGUUUCAUUCCAACAUGACCAAGCCUUGUAUGCCACAACCAACCCAAACUUGAUUUGCUAAUUAGGCAUGAUGUCAAUUGAGUGUCACUAUCAUUGAAAUCAACCAAGUAUAAGCUACCAUGCCUAAAUCCUUUGAAUAUCAAGUUUGAUCCAUCAACACUAACAACCUCAACAUCAUCACUUCCAAAGAUGCACUUGAAACCAAGGUCACAAAGUUGUGCAAUAGACAAGAGAUUGAAAUCAAGGCUUUCAACUAGCAACACAUUUGAUAUGCUCAUGUCAUUUGAGAUAGCAAUUUUACCAAGCCCCUUGACCUUGCCUUUCUUGUUGUUACCGAAGGUAAUUGAAUCAAAGCCACCAUUUUGACUAGUAUCAAUUGAUUUAAACAUACAAGACUCCCCGGUCAUAUGUUGAGUGCACCCACUAUCAAGCACCCAAUGCCUUCCUCCGGCUUUGAAAAUGACCUACAAGACAAGAUCAAUUCCUUUUAGGUACCCAAACUUGAUUGGGUCCUCCAAGGUUAGCAACUAAGCUCUUUGGUACACAAAUGGCUUUCUUCUUUGAGCCCAUCUAUGGUGCACCAAUGAACUUAGCAUGAAUACCUUUUGUAUCCUUGGUAAGCACAUAGAAAGAAUUAAGCUUAAUUGAGGAUACAUAAGCUUUGGGUUUCUUGUUCAUGCAUUGUUGCUCUAGUUGACCAACUUGCUUGCAAGCUUUGCAAUACCGGCCAUUUUUCUUCACAAAACUAAUCUUGUGAGGAGCAAAGGCGGCCUUGCCUUUCUUGGGGUUAUAGCCUAAUCCCUCUUUAUAGAGAGAAGCUCUUUGGCUACCCAAGCACAUAAGCAAGCGGUCCUCACCACCAUAAGCCUUGGCUAAGGUGUGAUUGAGCUCUUUCACCUCCUUCUUGAGAAUUUCAUUCUCAACUUUAAGUGUGGUCUCACAUGUGAAACCAUCACCACUCGAUGAGGAUGAUGUAGAUGAGCUACAUGAAGGGUUAGUAGAAGCAACAACAAUAGGGUUGCUUAAGAUAUCACAUGUUAUGCCUAUGUUGCAAGUUUGAGCUUUUUCAAUUUUAGUUGGCUCAUUUUCACAUUUGUUAACUAGAGAGGAAUGAGCUUCUUCAAGCUUAUUGUGAGCCUUUUGAAGCUUCUUAUGGUCUUCCUUUAGACUCUCAUAAGAUGCUCUAAGCUCAUCAAGUUCUUGUUCAAGGGUUUUCUUAUCCUUAAGCAAGGCCUUGCACUCCUUUCUAGUUUCUUUAUAAUGAUGAGUGCAAUCUUCUAGCAUAGUGAUUAGUUCAUCUUUAGUUGGUUCGUCAUCAUCACUAUCACUAUCACUAGCAUGGUCACUCUCAUCAUCGGAUGAUACCUUAGUGGCCUUAGCCAUGAAGCAUGAUGGAGUGUCGAAGAUGGAGCUCUUUUCUUGAAUGGCAAUGCUAGCAUGCGCCUUCUUCUUAGUGCUCUCAUCAUCACUUGAGGAGUCAUCACUAUCCCAAGUUGCAACAUGGGCAUCACCCUUCUUCUUGUUUGAGCCUUCCUUCUUUUCUUGCUUCUUCUUUUGCUUCUUCCUUUCCUUCUUGAUAGCAUCUUCAUCAUCACUAUCAUAAGGACACUUGGCGAUGAGAUGAUCCUUGCUAUGGCAUCUAAAGCACCUCAUGGAGUAAUCAUUCUUCUUAGAAGAGUUCUUCUUUCUUCUUGCUCGAUAGCCUUUCUUCUUCAUGAACUUGCCAAAUCUCUUGACAAGAAGAGCCAUCUCCUCAUCUUCAUCACUAUCACAAGAGCUUGCUUCUUCUUCACUUGAUGAUUCUUGCUUAGCUUUGCCCUUGGAUGUGGAGGCCUUGAAUGCCACACUCUUCUUCUUCUCAUCAUCCCUCUUUUCACCUUCCUUCUUCCUUUUCUUGACCAACUCAUCCUUCUCAUCAUCUUCUCUAUAAGCAUCAUCGGUCAUUACUUCUUGGAACACUUGUUGGAGAGUUGAUUCACUAAGUGUUGUCUUGACUAGCACGGUGAUCAAUGUGUCAAAUCUCUUGGGCAAGCUUCUCAAGAAUUUCAUAGAGAAUUGACUAUCUUUCACUUCUUCCCCAAGUGCCUUGAGCUCAUUCACGAUGACUUGCAACCGGUGAAACAUCUCCGGCACACUUUCAUCCUCUUGCAUCUUGAAGCUUGAGAACUUUUCUUGGAGGAUGUAUGCUUUGGCGGUCUUGGUUCCCUUGGUUCCCUCAAAUGUUUCUUCUAAUUUUGCCCAUGCAUCAUAAGCAAUCUCAAUAUUCUUAAUUUGCUCAAAGGUCUUGUCUUCAAGAGCUUCAUGAAGAGCACUAAUGGCAAUAUCAUUGCAUUGUAGCUUCUUCUCUUCGACCGGUGUUGGUGCAUUUUCAUUUGCAACCUCAAACUUUGUUUCGGUCACCUUCCAAACCUCUCUAUUGAUUGACUUGAGAUGAGCGGUCAUCUUGGACUUCCAAUAUGCAUAAUUGGUGUCAUCAAAGUAAGGUGCCUUCUUUGUGUUGUUGAUAUGCAAACUAAGAGCCAAUUCUUCACCGUAGGUUGUUAAGCCUCAAAUAAACGGUGCCUCGGCUCCGAUACCACUUGAAAGGUCCAAAUGGCUAGAGGGGGGGUGAAGUUAUGUUUUUCCAGAAAAUAGAAAAUCGGUUUUUAAAAAUCGGCUUUUUUUCGUGUAAAAUCGCGUGCUUCGCGGCCGGUGGGAUUCGAACCUGAGACCUUGCCCUUGCGCGUAGCCUCCUCUACCACUCAACCUAUCACUCACUUGUGUCUAUAUUAGAGUUUAGUUCCCCACAUAUUAUCCCAAACCGAGCAUAUAUUGAUUAUUUGAGGCUCUAAACGGAUUCCAACGGAAAAGUUGUCAACUACAAAGUUUCAUAACUUUUUAAGAUCUACGACUUUUAUGUUUUUUCAUCCGAAGUCAUUUACAAAAUUUGAAUUUCAAAUUUAAGAAAUUCAAACGUAGUUUUCGACGACAAGAUGAUGUCAAAUGGAAAAAUUAUCAACUACAAAGUUUCAUAACUUUUCGUGAUCUAUAACUUUCAUUUUGACAGUUUUUUCAAACAAGGUCAUUUGAAAACCUCAAAAAAUUAAAUUUCAAAUGAUUUCUACAGGCGGUUCAGUUAGGAAAACCGCCUGUAAAAAUGCAUCUUCACAGACGGUUCGUAGUUCUGACACCGCACCUUUUACACCACAGACGCGUGAUAACUACAACCGCCUGUAGUAUAAAAAAUGGGCGUCGGCGUUGUACUCUUUUCUACUAGUGUUGGAUCCAAACUGUGACGACGAUGUUGACCUUGAUGUAUGUAUUUUAUUGACUUUGAUGCAAACUCCAUGGGAUCCGGUGUUGCUGGACUCAUCGGAUCAAUGCAUGUGCGCAUCAAACGAAGUAGCAACUUGCAUACCUGAAUUGAAGCUACAACUACAUCAGAUAUGCAUGCAUCGUAGUACGUGAAUAUAUAUACAAACACCAUUAUCGUAUUUUAUGGAUCAAAACAAAAGAAAGGCAUAUAGCACUACACCAUUUAUAUCCCUAGCUGCUUAACGGCCUGUUUGAUGAGGCUAAGCUUUACCUAGCUAGUUCUAAAACUUAGCUAAAAUUAAACCUAGCGCAUUAAAAUAGUGUGACAGAAUUAUUUUUUAGCUAAAUAUAUUUAACUAGUUGUUAGUUAGUACGUGCCAUUUAAUUAAUUUAAAUUAGUUUUUAGUAUAACUAUUCAUCGAUUCCAGAGAGAUCAGACAGCAUCAGGACCGGAUCCAUAUACUUCCUCCAUACCUAUAAUACUUGACGUCAGUUUUAAGAAAAGUUGACGUUGUGGCCACUAGAGGCUUAAACGUGACGCAUUUGCCCCUGCGCCUCUUCGGCUGCCGCAACGCUUGCUGUGAUGAUUGGGUUUCGAACUCUGCACCCGCAAAUCGUGGUCACAGAGAGCUGCUCUAGCCAGUUGGGCUAGACAACUAUCUUGUGUGAAGAGCAGUCAUAACUCUAUUUAAUAGGGGUAGAGAUGGAAAAAUACCCUCUAAUUAAUCACUCCUUGGUAAGUACAAUCAUGUCCUAAACGUCAAGAAUUUCAGGAUUCAGAAAUAGAGGGAGUACAAUCUCUUUUGCUGAUAUGCAUGGUCAGCCUCACGUGAAACAAGGUACUUUGAUCUAGGAGUACAGGCCACUCGCAAAUCGAAACUUGGCUCCUGUGGCACUACGGCAUCUGAAACUAAUAAAUAGUCUCUGUUGCAUACGGUGUGCACAUGAAUGAAUGAAUGAGGCCGGGUACCCACUAGGCAAUUUUCCAGUUCUACCUUCAUAUAUCUUCCACUUGGUCAAAUUCGCACUAGUUAAUUAGGCUCGUUUUCAGCCUGUCACUAUUAAAAAGAGAAAGUGACCCUGCAAAAGAUAUAAAAAUAUCAAAGUCACAAUGUCGGCAGCAUCUAUCGAAUUAAGUGUCUAUUUACUUUGUCAGUCCCAAUGAAAAAAAGUCAUAGUAAUUUGUAUAGUUUAGGACACUACCAAGAAACUAUUCUUACCGGUAUAAAUUUUUUUACUACAGUCUAGAUAUAAAUUUUCUCAGUCAUCGAACGUGUUCCUCUCUUCCAUAUGUGGAUCCUGUGUGCAGUUGCCUUUUCUUUUAAUUCUCUUCCGUUUCUUGUUACACAUACACAAGAAUGUUCAACCAAUUAGAAAACAUUAAUCACUAAACUGAAAAGUUAGAUGGGACUACACAAAGAAGAACAUAACAAAAAUAAAAAAAACACUGAAGUGCUUGACAAAUGUAAUUUGAGCAGCUAGCGAUACGCACAAAUCAAAAUAGCUGAAUGCAACACCUGAUCACGGCACGUUGCAGCGAACCGAGCGCCGAGGCCCUUGCCGGCCGGCACUGCACCUGCUGCCUCGGUAAGGAUGGGGACGGUGCUCUAAACGGAUACCUGCGGAUCUUCUCUAGUGUAACUGAAUGAAGUAAAUAAAAAAAUGAGAAAAAAAUUGUCUAUUUAGUUCAUAAAUUACACUAGAGAAGAACCGCGGAUAUCCAUUUGUAGGGCCACCCCCUCCUUACGCCUCGGGCUCCAGUGAGGCCGGCUCCACUGCUGGCGCAGGAGGUGAAGGCAAAGGAGGUGACCGGCUCCAAACAUGAACUUACGAGGGCCAUCAACGAGAGCUGCAAGCGAGGAGUAGCGGCGAUGCGAACGAAGGCCAUCAACGAGCACAUGCAACUAGAGCAUGAGAUCUGGACCGAUAAGGAAGGAAACCAUCAGUUUCUUCCCAACACGAUUUGCGUCGUUUCCUCAUGCAUGGAUACCUGAGAAGACUUCGUUUUCUAUCAAGAAAACAGUUUCUCUGUUUUCUCUUUUCCCUCUAUAAUAAAUCUACUGUCAUAUCAACAAUUUGUGCAGUUGGCAAAGUAACUAAUAGAGAUAAAAGCUAUCAUAAAUACUCCAUUGAGACAGCCCUAAAAUUGCAAUAUGAUUUUUUUCAGGCUGUACAAGUUUUUGGCACUCUCCUAUAUUACUACACAUAAUUUUUUGAUGUAAAGUUGAUGUUAUUACUUUUGUAUUUGAAAUAGUUAUUUAUAAUUUGAUUUUGUAAAAUAACUGUAUAUAUAGAGGAUAUUUUUGCAAUAGUUUGGCAAUAAAUGAAUUGGAUAUUUCCAAGAGGAUAUCUCCAAGAGUUUGUCAAGAGGAUAUUUUUGCAAUAGUUUGACUAAGCUAAGGGAGCAUAUGCAUGCAUGUAGUAAACUGUGCUCAUGUUGCACAUAGAUUCAAGUGGCCGGCCUGGUAACGUGGCCUCGAAAAAGGGAAACCAGAGGACUGUUGCCCGUAUUCCCAACUCAACUCGAAGGAAAAAAAAUAAUUAAGCAAGCAUGCAGCAUCCAUGCACGUUAAUUUAAAUAACAAAGGUCAAUGCUUCACAUAUGCAUCAGUAUGUAGCUGAGUCAUGCAUGCCUGCUUUGCUGGCGAGUGUACUAUACCCAACAAUGUGUAUUGUUAAAGGUUUUUGCUGCCUAUAAAUAGCUUGGGCCACCCAAAGCUUCAUCAUCCUCCGAUCCAUCCAUCUCUCGCCCAUAUCUAGUCUAGAUACUAAUAGCUUAGAAGCUAGCCCCACAUCUCGGUCGAUCAUAUCUCAACAAUGGCUUCUCGUGCCGCCACGCUGAAGAUGGCCACUGCAACUGCCCUUGUCCUGCUGGUCCUGCUAUGCAUGGCGACCUCACCUGUGACUGCCUGUACCACCACCUGUCAAUUCGCCUGUGGUACCUUUGCUAUACAAGUCUGCGGUACUUGUUCCACUACCACGACAUGCAUCACUGAGGCUGAAAAGGUGUGUAUCAAGACCUGCACCGAAACCUGGUGCGGUAAGGUAUUCCUGCCAUGCCUCUAAGAAUAUGCAUGCAUGGAUUCGGAUCGGAUGGCUUAAUCGAUCUAUUCCGACUUCCUCGCUAGCGCAUGGUUGUUGUUGCAGAGAAUAAAGGUGAGUGCAUGCAAGGAGGCAGCCCUCUCCCCGUGUGGUAUGUGGGGGAGGGCUUGCAUGCAUGCAUGAUGAUCCACGUUACAUUUUCCAUUUAUAUUCUAGUUAUAUUAUCUUAUUAUCAUCGCAUAUUUCUGCCGCGGGCAUGAUGCAUGGCGCGUACAAUAAGACGACGUCCUACUAGCGUAGGAGUAUUGUAAACCUCUCUCCAUGCAUGUAUAAAUGGAAGGAGGAUUAAUAAUUAAUAUAGUGCGUGCCCAUCUUAUGCCGUUGUGCAUGUCAACAUGUAAUUCCUCUCAGGUUCUACCAGGGGCUUGUGGGAUAUAUACGAUCAUGGUAUUAUCAUUAUAUGUAAUUUAUGAACUUCCCUAUUAUGAUGAUAUAAUAUUGUCCAGAUUAACAAGGCAGCUAGCUUC
rnacentral:lncRNA from 1 species